rnacentral:lncRNA from 1 species
UGAGUGUUUUGUUACCAAUGGUCAUGACACUGCUGAAGUCUCUGUCUAAUGUACUAGCAGCAACAGUGAACACCCAUGGAGCAACAUUAACAACACUUCCAGGGGUAGGUCCUUCAUUUCCCGCAGAUGCAACUAAUAAUAUAUUUCUAGCAAGUGCAUGAAAUGCACCUAUUGAAAUCUCGUCAGUAAAAAUUUCUUCAGAAUUUGUACUAGAUGGGCCUCCAGCAGAAACAGAUAUUAUGUCAACACCAUCAUCAAUUGCUUGAUCAAUAGCAGAUAAUACAUCAGCACCAAAGCAACUAGUGGCAUCUGUUAGAGACCAGCACACUUUGUAGGUUGCAACUCUAGCUCUUGGUGAACCUCCUUUUAUGGUACCAUUUCCAAUGUUAAAUAUGCUUGCACCUGGUACGAAAUUUCCACCAGCUGUUGAUAGUGUGUGAGUACCAUGGCCAACGAAGUCACGCGCUGUUUGUUGUGAACGAGGAAGUUUUCCGUUACGCUUCUGAUAAGCUUUGUUGAAAAAUCUUGCGCCAAUUAGCUUCCUGGUUUUUGAAGUUUAAUUAAUCAAGAAAAAGAUUUUUAGAUACAUUAUUUAACUAGUUAAGUUGUUCUCAAUGGCUAUAUAAUAACAAUUCUCUAUUGAUCGAAAUGUUGAAAUUGGCUUCAAAUUUGUGGUUUGGAAGAACAGAGAAAUCGUGACACGAUUUUGGCAUCGUGGCACGAUUUCAAGUGCCUGUAAGCUAAGUUUGCAGGACGCCAAAUCGUGGCACGAUCUUGGGAAAUCGUGACACGAUUCAGAAACUUGCUGGUUAAGUAUAACUGAUAAGGACUUGUCUGCCUUGGGGCCGUUGCAGAUCGUGACACGAUCUAGGGAAAUCGUGGCACGAUUUCUUCAGAGGAAGACUAGUAUAUAUUGUGUUCUUGUGCUUUUUUGAAGAUAAACUUAAGAGAGAGCUUGUAUGAGCUUAAGAGAGAAAAACUUGGAUAGCAAAGGAGGGAACCAUAUGGGUUGAGUGUCUUUGUUGAGAGUGUCUCUUGGGUUGGGAAAAACAUUGUAAUCACCUUGGGUUUUAGGGUUCAUAGUGUGAGAGUGGGAAAAUAUCAAAGGGUAGAAUCUAGGGUUUGUUCAUGUGCAAAGCUUGAAGGCUAGAGUCUUGUAACCUUUUGUAACACUUUCUCAUAUUGGAUUGGAGAGCUGCUCUCUCCCCUAGAUUAGGCCAUAUUGGCUGAACUGGGUCAACAAUCUUGUUCGGUGUUUUGUUCUUCCUUUUCUUGUUUAUCUUGUUUAUGCUUUGGAAUCUCUUGUGUGGUUUUGCUAUACACUAGUUAGGGCUGUUUUGUUGUUGUUGGCUUGGAGACCAUUUGUUCUCAUUGAUUAUCACUAUCACUUGCUGCACACAUCAUUGUUUAUUUCAUUGGUGUGAAGGUUUCUUUGGAACCGGAUUCACAACAGAUUGAUAUUAACUUUAUCUAAUCAAUGCCUUCUACCAAGAAUAGUAAUUAAUAAUAUACUUAUAUAAAAAAAUAGUAAUAUAUACUAGUUUAUUUUUCUUUCCUAUAGUGUCACAAAUGUUGUUAAAACAACACUGAAUUGGGCGGUUUAACUGAUUGAAUUGAGAAUCGGUUAAUCUGGUUUAACCACAAUUGGGUCAUAGUCCCUACAUAAUUGGAUUUAACUGUAGCUGAACUGUGGUUGGUUCAACCUAUUUGCCAUGAUUCAAAACCAUUUCAAAUUCAAAUACGUUUCUUAGAACAUUGAAUGUCAUAUUUUACAUCUCAUCAAAUUGUAACAAUUAUUUGGUUAGUCACUUAUAUUUCACUAAUAGUUUCUGGUCUGAUAUUGAGAUGGGUGGCAGGUUACACGUUUUGCUCUUAAUCAGAUUCAAAUAGGACUCAUUAGUGCAGAGAUUUUUGUAAUAGGAGUGUAAUUGUGUUAAAGCUAUGGUUUACUGAUAAUGAUCUCCAACAUUGAUAAAAAUUUGUUUGCAUAGUUUCUGCAAGUUUGUAUUUUUUAAAAUUAUGUUUCCGCUGUAUUUUUGGGGUUAUUUGCUUAUAGUUGUUGCCUUACCAAUUGUUGUGCCUAAGGUUCUACAUUCAAUACAGUCUUUUUGCUUACACAUUAUACAGUUUUUAACAUUACUUUAUUUUUACAAAAGUAUUUAAUAUUGUGCAAUAUAAAAAAAUAAAAAAAAAUAAAAAUUAGCACUCCCUCCGUCCCUAAAUAAAUGACCUAGUUGACUCUGACACAUCUCAAUGCAUAUGUUUUAUCUUUGAUAUUUUCAAUUCUCUACUAAAAAAAAUUAUAAAAAUUUAAUAUUUUAAAAAUAUUCAUCGAGACGACGAAUCCAACAACAUCUUACAUGAUAUUAUUUAUCUUUGUGAAUUAGUAUAAAAGUAUAGUCAAAGUAUUUCAAGUCAAUUAUGUAUAUUGUCAACUGGAUCAUUUAUUUAGGGACGGAGGGAGUAUAAUUGUGUAGCCUAAAAAUCAUUAAAAAGGGAAGCAGGUUGAAAGAGAACCUGUUGCAUGGAACUUUUUUAGAUGUAUUGAGUUUGUCAAGUUGACAGAUGUUUCCCCCACGCCAUUUCGCUGGAAUUGGGCCAAUUCCUCUGUCGCUAAAACUCUUAGAUUCGGGCCAAACACCUGAUCCAAACAAUAGGAUAAUAAUAUAUUUUGAAUAAUUAAGUCAUCUAGGUUUAAUUAAAUCAUUAAUAAAAAAAGAAACAGAUCAUUCACAUGGAAUUUUUUUUUUUUUAAGAAAUUCACAUGGAGAUUAUAAUAUUGAAUCUGUCAAUGUUAUAUUCACUUUUUCAUAAAAUAAUUGGAAUUCUUGUGAACUGUGAGCUACUUGACUUAAUUAUUUCAACGUGUGUAAUCAUCCCUUUUGCAGAUUUCAAAUAAGGAACAAAGCACAAGAUAUUGGGGUAUAAUAAAAUAUAAUUUUUUUAUAUUGAUUGAGAACCCAAGAAAGCAUCUUGCCAACUCAAAGAAAGCCUGUAGUUUUUGUCUCCAAGUAGGUUAGUCUGAUCUAAGGAAAAAACGAAAGAUAUAAAGCAUUUCAAUUGUUCUAUAAUAAACAUUGUGUCAACGUCGACGGUCUAUCAAGUCACUAAGAUUAUACUAUUGGUUAUGUCAAAAAAGGAAGAUAAAGCAUUACAACUGUUCUAUAAUGAAAGGUUUAUUCAAAAAAAUAAAUUGUUCUAUAAUAAAAGGUAUGCGUUAAAAUUAUUAAGGGAGUGAGACUAAUUUUAACGAAAGUUAUGUGUUGUCCUCGUAAGCUUAGCUUGAUACAGAUUGUAGAAACAUUGCAUAUUAUUAUAUAUAUGCAUCGGAAUUCAAAUCUCAAACAACUUACUUAUUCAUCUUAAGAUGUGAUUUUUUUAACCAAUAAACUAUUAGCCUAUGAUAAAAAAAAGUUAUUUGUCAAAUCAUACGAUUUUUUUUUACAUUUAAAUAAAAAAAAAACGACAGAUUUGACGAACCCCAUGCACCCGAUGAAUGAACGUGGAUGCUAGUCUUUUUUUUCGUACAUCUCUUUCUUAUUCUCUAUCUUUAUAAUACUGCUAUCUCUUUUCAAAAAAAAUUAAUAAAAUAACUAAGAGAGUAUGAAGAGAUAUGUAAAAAGAAUAAGGAGAUGAUUUUAUUUCCACACAAACAACCACCAAAGUUUGACCAGAAAGUGCAUGACAAAACAUAACAGUAAAGGAAAAUGGAGGAAUUUAAUUUAUAAGCAAAAACAAAAUGUAUUAAUCAGAACAAAAAAGUAACCAAACCCGAAGAGAAUAUCACUCUAAACUUUAUAAGCAAAAAAUAGACUCUAAACUUUAUACAUAUAAGAAGACAUAACUCGUUGUGCUGGUUAAGAUUUUAUUGCGAUUUUAAUAAAUUCCAUUUUAACUUUUUCAACAAAAAAAAAAAAAAGACAUAACUCUAAAAAGUAUAUAAAAAACAAAUAUAGGCAAGAAAAUUCGUGGAUCAGGUUCCGUGAAGUCACAGAAAAUAGCAAUCAUGUAGACAAAGCUAUGCGAUUAUUCGAUUGAGUACGAACGAUCCAGAGUUCAAAGUCAAUAAUUCUAAGUUACGAAAAUACUUCCUUCAAAAAAAAAAUGUUGAAUGAGUGUAUAAAAUUUUGAGAUAGUAAUAUGAUAGAAAAAUAAAGAUAAUGAAUAAAAUAAAAUGUUGAAUGAUCGUAUAAAAUUUUGAGAUGCUCAAAUAUAAGAGUUGUUAUUGAAAACUUAAAAAACACCGUAAGAUUUCUCAAUAGAUUUUUGGCAGUGAUAUCAUGUAUAUUUAAUUUUUUUUAGCAAUAUUUAAUUUUAUUUAAAACAGUAAAUGUUAUUGUUAGUAAUUUUAUGAUUAUAGGGAACCUUUAGCUCAUUUAAUCAUUUCAUUCUUUAACUACACUACAUCACGCCAGCUACCAAACCAAUUUUAUAUCCCCUUCGAUGAUCAUUAAUUAACAAGAAUGUUUUUCUUAUCCCGUGAGUUUAGCUCAGCUGGUAGGGAUAUCACAUAUUAUAUAUAAGGGUCGGGGUUCGAACCCCGAUAACUUCAUUUCUUCACAAUUAAAUUGUGUGAGCUCUAACCACUAUGUUACUAGAAAAAAAAAAUGUUUUUUUAAAAAAUGUACCAAAUAAAAGAUUUUGUUUGAAAUAUAAAACAUAGGAUGUGGUAUAAAGUUAUAAAAUUUAGUACCUGUGUCAAUGUUACCGAUGAUGGUAUUUUCACCAAACCUUCCCUUUUGCCAAGCUGAGUUGAUAUCAUUUCCACGCAAUCCAAGAAAUUCCCAAGAACGUGUAGUGUGCAGUUUAUGCUCUUUGCUCAAAAACACAGAUACCACCUUUGGAUUUUCUGCAUAUAGGUUGAAAAAAAAAUAUAAAAUGAGAAUUAUUUAAUUGAAAAAUUACAACAUUAGUUCUAUAAAAUGCUUAUGACAGUGGAAACAUGCUAAUUGUGUUACUUACUUGCAAUUUGUGCAGCUUCUUCCUCUUCAAGCAUAGCUGCAAAGCCAUUAAUCUGUUUAUUAUAUGAAUAAAUUAUUGCUUCUUUUGCAUUCUCCUUGCUGUGAAUGAUCAAUAUAUAUUAGUUAAUAAAUUUGUUCUAAAUAAAAAAAAAAUUAAGUUGAAUUUUGUAAUGGUUAAAUUUCUUAUUUCAUGUACCUUCCCAAUAUUGAACCCAGUAAAUCAUAAUGAGAAGAUGUAGCAGUUUCAAGGUCAACAGAGGAAGGAGUUGGACCAUGUGAAUGUGCUCCCAAGUACACAAUAUAGCACUAUAAAUAAAUAGGAAAUCAAAAACCAAUAGCUUACGAAAAUAAUGAAAAGUAUAGAAAUCAUCAUCUUAAUUACAAUUUAUAAGUUCGUUACAAAAUAUAUGUGUGUGUGAUCUUACAAUGUAUAAUUUUGUUACAAAAAAUUUGAGGCUAAAAUCAUGUUUUCUUUUAGUGGAUUAAGAAGCAAAACUGGCUUUACCUCUUUGCUAGCAUGAACAUCCUUCAGCAACAAAGUGAAAAUAAGAAGAGAUGAAACAAAAAGGUGAUGAAAUAAAAUGGAGCCACCCAUUUUUCUGUUUAUGGAAAGUGCUUAGCUUAAUCUUGGGGAUCUAUGCUAAUUGCUCUCCUUUUAUAAUGAAAGCCAUAAAUAAUGGCAUCUGAGAUAAAAGACAGCUUGAGAGUAUUUUAGUUUUAUUCAUAGCUUUUUGGUAAGCUAAACAUAUUAUAUUAUUUAUAAAUAAAGAAAAGGAGACGGAACGUAUCAUGUUAUCCAAGAAAUGUGACCUGUGCUUUUUGGUAGGGCUCCAAAAUUGGAAUGAGCUUGGCUCUUUGAAUGAAAAAAAAAUUAGGACUAUUGACAUUGUGUGUUUCAAGUUUUUUUUUUUUUUUUUCCUUUUAUGAAUAUAAUCACGAUUCACGGCAAUGGAUACUUACCACCUGUCACAAAAUAAUGCCAAAAAUAUGUGAUACAUGAGUUUUUCAAAAUCGAGAAAAAAAAAAAAAAAAUGUAAAUAUCCAGACUUCAAAAAAUCGGGAGCAGACUACUAAUCUUCAGCAGAGUGGGUUAUUUCACAUCAAUCAAUACAUACACACUUUCUUACCAGAUGCUGAUUACAUAAUUACUUUACAUGUAAAAAGUUAGAGCUCAUAUGCUUUUUGGUAGUACUAAUUUCUUUUAGAGUAAGAAUAUUAUUUACUAAUAAUAAUAGUUUCUUCCUUUUCCAAAAUUUUAACAAUAAAGAUAAAAUUUUAUAUGUUCUUGUCAAAAAACAAAAGUGUAGGUCGGAGGAGUUGAGAAGCUGCUUCAACGCUGGUUCGCGAUGGUUGACAAUAGUCGACAUUCAACAAUGCAGAGGGAGUACCAGCAAAAACACUUCAUUGCUUAAGUCAUGUUUUUAAGGUGUUUUGAGAAUAUAUUUCAAAAUGUGAAUGUGUAACUUGUUUCGAUGUAAAUCGCCCGAUUUAUAUACUUGUGGCAGAUAUGUAGAUUCGACCAUUAUGACUCGAUGGUCGAAUAACCAUCUGAUCAUAUAAAGAGCUCAAAUGGGAACUAAGCGAGUUCUUUGGUGCACGAUGGCUCUUCGCCGGUGCAUGAACAACACUAGAUAGACGUUUUAUUGGGCCUAAACUAGGAUUAUAGACACGGUGAGAAUUGGUCUAAAUCAGAUCGUGUCUAAAUAUAUAAAUACUUUCAUUUAUCCUUGAUAAUACAUCCUCUAUUUCAACAUAUUAUUUAACCUUAGAGCAUCUACAAUAGUAGGUGUUUCACCUAUUUAGCACCGGAAUAAAUAAGCACUCCUAUUGUGGAGAGAAGAUGUUUGGUGCAUAUAGAGAAGGGUGAUUAUAUAAGGACCAUCUCUCUCUUUACUUUUUGUGGGUCAUACGUAAUAAAUUAUACACAAAUCAAUAAACUUGUGUUGAUAUAACAUUGAGCUAUUAAUAUGACCUAUUUAGUAACUUUUUUCUAAGGUGAUGAGUUGGAGAAAUUGGAUGUUUAUUAAGUAAUAUCAUUGAAAAUUAUAAAAUAGAUUAUGUGUACAUGCAUGACUCACUUAAGUACCUAAAAUAUAGUGUUAUGUUGUAGAUGGUCUUAGUCUCAAUUGAAUGUUUCUAAAUCUCAUUGAUUACAACGAAUGUGAGUUCUAGCUAAUACCAUAAAUGUGUCAAAAUGUGUGUUUGACGUUUUUCUUUCAAAGUACACCAUCUGGUCACUAUUAUAAGCAAAGAUUAACAUUUUAGAUUCAUCCAUUAAAUGAUGUAUAUAUUCUUUAUUAUAGACCACAUACAUAAUUUAAUGAAUGAAGCUAAAAUGUUGAUUUUUGCUUAUAAUAGUGACCGAAGGAUGUAAGAGUUUGAAGGAAGUACUAUGGUACUCUACCUAAACCCUACUAAUUAUAUCAUAAUAAUGGAUGUUGUAUUUUUUUUUUUAGACAAAAUUACACUUUUAGUCCCUUAACUUAAUUUCAGGUAACAAUUUGGUCAUUUUCAUAUGAAUUUUGAAGUUUAAAAUUCAUGAUUUUAUUUUCUUAUGGUCUUUCAAUCUUCAAAUCUAUCAUCCUCGUCUAUGUUUGCAUAAGAAUAUUAUAUUUGAAGCUUGAAAAUGUAUAUAAAAAUUGACUUUUUAAAAAAAAAAAAAAAAAAGACCAAACUGUUACCUGAAAUUAAGUUAAUGGACUAAAAAUAUAAUUUUGCCUUUUAUUUAUUUAUCAUGAUAUUGAUAUGAAGUCUGUUGGAACAAAAUGUGUUUCACAAUGAACCUUAAUGAGUUUUGAUGAUAACAAGGUAUUAAAAAUUGUCAAUUGGUUAUUGCUAAUAAUUGUUCAAGUGUACAGGACCAAAGGCUAGUCAAGUAAUUUCAAUAGGUCUUGGAAGAACAAUGGAGAGCAAAAUGAUUCUAAGCAUCUGAAGAAAACUGCGUCUGAAGCUUAAAGUGCGUCUGAAGCUGAAAUGCUUUUGAAGUGAUGACGUCAUCAGAAGCAGAAGGUCAUCAGAAGCAAGGUUUUCAUCAGAAGCGAAAUCAUCACCAGAAGCUACAUUUAAUCCGUAAAUUCAAACUAAAGAUCCAAAGUAGCUGUUUCUCAUUUCAACCUUAUCUAAGAAGAACGAAGAAUUGAAAGGGAGGUAUCAACGGUCAUUUGGAUAGCACUAAGUAUUUGUCCUUCGUUAGCAGAGUUGACAAAGUACAAGUGUACAACCACUACCUCCACUACUCUGUUUUUGUCCACGCUACAAGACAAGACAACAGCUAUGCCUGCAGAAUUUGUGCCUUCAAGAUGGGAAUGAAUUUGAAGCUAAUUCUUCAAAGGACUACACCCAAAUCAAGCAAAGGAUUACUGGUGAAUGAUCAAAGGAUUUCAACGACUCUUUAGACGUGCUAAUCAUCUCAACGUCUCUUUCACGCCUCUAUAUAAAGGAGUGAAGACUUGAAGAUUGUAGAGAGAGAUACACUAGUUAAAAAGCGCCAAAACUCUGUCAAUUUGAUUCUACAAAGCACACUGAAUUUCUGCACUGAUUUGAUAUAUCUUAGAAAUUCAAAAGUCUAGAGUCUUUAACGUAUUGUAUUGAGAACACCACUGAUUGUAUAUCAAGUGUUCAAGUCAAACUUAUUUCAUUGUAUUUUUGUUUGAUCAGAAGACUCUUGCCUGCGCGCUUGAGCAUUAGAAGUCUCUUGCUUAUUGCUUGAGCAUUGGAAGACUCUUGCGUGUGUGCUUGAGCAUUUUUGUGAAGUCUCAUACUUAGAGAGUAUUGAGCAUUUGUAAUCUUUGUGAUUAUAGUGAAAUCUCCUUGGAAGUGCAAGGGGGACUGGACUACUUCCGUUUUGUGGAAGGAACCAGGAUAACUGCUUGUGUCUCGCUUUUCUUUUCUCUGCUUUGAUCUUUUCCGCUGCAUAUCUGAUUCUGAUCAUUUCAUCAGAAGCAUUCACAAACUGCUUCUGAAGUUUUAUCAGAAGAAGAAUUUUUAGAGAGAAAAAGAAAACACAAUUCAACCCCCCCCCCCCCCCCCCCAUCUUGUGUUUUUCUCACCUUCAAAAUCUUCCUAAUAUCUAAUUUUUUUGUUUUAUCCUUCAUUUUUCUAUUUCAUUUCAAUUUUGUCCUUCUACUGUUAUCUCACAUCUCUACUUCACCAUUAUAAAUAUAGAGCUUUGGUGGUACACUUUAAAUUGUUUUUGAUCUUUCACACUUGUCUCACAUCUCUAUUCAGAAUCAUACAUUAUAAAUCUAUACGAUAUAGAUUUAUAUGAUGUUCAAUCUUCUCUUACAAAGUAGUCAAUAGAUAUUUUUUUUAAUAAACUUUCCAUUUUAUUUGCACUUUAACUGAUUUUCUCUAUUCACCAUUGUUAUACCCUGUUUUUGGACCUAAAAAUACUGGGCCCAAUUUCAUUUCAAACUUUGUCAAUUAUCAAAUUUCAACUGCACAGUUCAAACUGUCUCUGCCUCGCAGUAUUUUCAAUCACAAUUUUACCUAUGUUUUUCUUGCAUAAAACCUUUCGAAAUGUCUUUACUUGUCUUGUAAGUCAUUUAAAAGUGUCUCUGAAUCAUUACAUUGCUUUUUCUACAGUUUAUUUCAAAAUUUGCAAAAAGUCAUACAGAAGGGUAUUUUGGUCAUUUCCUGCAGUGGGACCCAUUUUCAUCCUUGUGACUGUCUCUGAGUCUUUUCAAAUUCAUUUUUAACUUUCCAUCAGUAAACCUUGCUAAUUUCAUUUCAAACUUGCAUCUGAGUCAGUGUCGAGUCAAUUUGGCUCUGUUUAGGUCAUUUUUAGCCCUAGGGGCAUUUUGGUCAUUUCACAUAAAAUUUUGGCAUGGGGAGGUUACUUUGAAGUACCUCAUUUAAGCCAUUGGUUCGUUUUAGUCCGUUUUGUCAGCUUUAUUUUUUGUUUCACUUUACGUUUGGUCAAAUUUUGUUUUUUAUUCAAAUUUUAUUUUUAAUUGCAUUUUGGUCCCUCAAUUGAGGUCCCAAAAUUGCAUUUUUGUCCAAACUGUUUUUUUUAUUAUUUAUUUCAUUUCAAGUUUUUUUUAAUUUUGCAGUCCAGUCCUUGUCAUUUUCACAAUUUGCAGAUUGGUCCUUAAAAUAGCAAGCAGCGCCCAAGUGAGCAAGUCCAGGGUACGUGUCACAAUUUCAUUGGCUCAAGUGUACACAUGUCAACUAUAUAAACAGUGAGUCAGAUUCAAAGCCAUUAACCACACGCCAACUCAUAAACACAUUUCCAAUUUUCUCUUUCUCAAGUAACUAGAUCAAAACAGAAAAUCACAGAGAAAUCACCAAGAACACGAAACCCUAACCGUUUUUUCAGAAAUCAAAUUCAUCAGAAUCAACAGUUUUUGGAUCAAUUCUCAGAGAUUCUGUUGAAUCUUCAUCAUCGAAUUGAUCAUUCUCUGCAAUUCCAAACGCGAGCUCGCAUUAAAGCAAGCUCAAGCGUUGAUCACAGAGCGUGAAAAGAAGAGGGAAAGAAGCGAAGUUCUAAACCGGCGAAGAAGAUGAAGAAACGGAAUCAGUGAGAAAAGGAGAAUCACCGAUUUAUUUUCGGUCCCAGAACAAGCAAAGGAAUCAAAAACCAGCAAGAACAUUCAAGUUUUCCCAAAGAUUUCCUCCAUUAAAGGUUUCAACCAAAACCUUAGGUAAAACUCAGAAUCUUUUCUCAAAAGUAAUAUCACUGUUAAACCUGUAGAAAACAAUCACGCAAGCAAAGCAUAUCAAAAAAUUUCCAGAAUUCAAAGAAAACCGUAACCGUAAACACGAAACCUAGAUCCAUAAGGAUCUAAGUUUUGAAGGCAAGAACGAGUACUAGAAGCGUAAUCAAACAACGAAACGAUGUAGAUCUUUAAACGAUCUAAACAUUUCUUUUCAAAAACCAAAAAAUCAGUUUCAAAAACCGUACGGAACUUUUUAGAUCUACAACGUUUCAAACCGUAUUUGAAAAAACAGCUGCUGGAUUCGUGUUUAGGGUUAAAGGACGAAUCAAAAGGAGUAAGAAUCUUUGAAAUCUGGAAAUUUAGGUCACCGGAAACUGCAUGAACUCGCCGGAGAAGAUGAAGUUUCCGGCGGACCUUCAAGGUCUCCGCCGUAGCUUCAUCCUCGCCGGCGGUGAGGUUAGAGAGAAGUGAGAGGAGAGGGAAACUUAGAGAGAGAAGGAAAUGAAAGAAAUGGACUGGACCGGUAUCCAUGUCCUUAUAUAGACGCGUGAACCGGUCCGGUUUAUUUCGUUUUCAUUUUGAACCGUAGGAUCUAGGGUUUUCUCCUUUGAACGGUUGUGAUGCAUUGUUACCAUAUGCUUGAUUUAUGUUGCCAUGCGCUGUGUGUUCUAAACCGUCAGAUCUGAAUCUGGAUCGAUCCAACGCCUCUGAAGCCUUUGGAUGAUCCAGGCCCAGUCUGUAUUGGAUUUUGGUUUGGGCUGGAAGUUUUUUACGUUUUUUGCUUUCUCUCUUUGCUACUUGCACCAUAAUUGCCUGCUGUUUGCACCCUUUGUUCAUGCUAAUUUUCACCAAUAAAUUCCAAGAAAAUUACCAUGACAUUUUACUAUUUUUUCUUGAUAAUUUUCAGUGGUAUUUUACUUGGAAAAGUUGGUAAAAUUUUGGUGUUGAUUUGUCAAGGGUUUUUACUAUUUUAAGUCACUUUUCUCGCAUUUUUACCCUUUACCUCGUGCUCAUAAUGUUCGUAUUCGUCAUGUUUAAUUUGCAUACUAUUUCAUAUGAAUUUUGCUACUGUUUGCUAUGCAUAUGUCACUGUUUUGAUGUGUUGGGUUUUAUUCUUGCAUCAUACGCAUUAUUCAUCACAUGUGUCCGGCUUAUUUUCAUCGUCACUCUACCGUCUUAUGCCAUACUUUCUUCUAUCGCUUUAUGCCAUAUUCUUCUUUUACCACUUUCUACUAACAUUUCCUUUCAUGUUGAUCACUUCAUAGCACUUCAUUAUCUUCACUAUUGUCCCCGUUAGUUUAGUUUUCUUUUUUUUGCAAAUUGUAAUUCAUUCGGUGAUGCAAUAUUUUACUAUUGGUUUGUAGCUUGGCAAAGAGGCCAUAGAAUGUACUUAGGCAACGUUGUAAUAUGGACUAUGGACACUAUGGCGCACCGACACGCACACACUCACCUUAGAUGUAUGCAUAGGAUUGUAUGGUUAGAUAAGCGCUUAGGUUUUAAACACUUAGAGAAAAUCCAUCUUUUUUUUUUCAAAAAAAACAAUUGAACUUCACUUCAAAAAUUUUCAUAAUAAGUAUGAAGUCAACACUUCAUUUUUUUUCCUUUCUUUUUUCUUAAGAAAAAUUCAAUUCAUCUUAAUCAUUUAGACUUUCUUUCUAAUCACUAAUCAAACCUCACUUUUUUGCUAAAUCUAAUGCUCAUGAAGCCUCCCAAUCUCCUUCUUCAAAACUUUUUUUUUAAAACUUAAAAUCAAACAAUUAAAACAAAAAACAAGUCUUUUUAGCAAGAACUACGCCGGUUUUGAUCCCGUAAAACGGUACGUAGGCAAUGAGUCAAAACUCAUCCAAGCCGAAAUAAAAUCAAAGUCUUACAACUUCUCUCCCCCCAUUCUUAACUAAAUAAACCUCCCAUUUUCAAAAGUAAGUAAAAAUAAGCAUGAAUAUAGACUUAGGAAAACGGCUCCUAUAGAGGACUAUAGUUACUCCGGGUGCUUAACACCUUCCCGUAGUAAAACCGACCCCCGAACUUAGAAUCUAAGGGUUUUUCUCAAUUUUGCCCUUCCCAAGAAAAAAUAGAGAAUAUCAACGGUCAAAAGGUUCAAGUCCAAUUAAUGGCUUGGCACCCAAAAACCAUGAUAACAGAAAUGGCGACUUCACUGGGGAAUCUUUUUAGCGGGUCGCGCCUAGUUUUCCUUAGUUUAUAUUUAUGCUUUAUUUUAUUGCUUACAUAUGUGAAUACUUGUUUACCUUCAUUUGACGUGUGGGGUGAGAAUAUCAAAAGUCCUAACCCGGGCUGAGUGAACUUAUGUUUAGGUAGAGAUAUAAUCGACAAUUCGAUCCGGGGGUUGCCUCGUGUAUUGGAUUAUGCGAUCAAUCUCACAUAGCUGAGGCAUUUUGAAGGUGAUAUUGUCGGCGUGUGUUGUCAUGCUUAGGCACUUCACUUUCAAUUGUUCGACGAAGCUAUGAACCGUAGUUACCAAACCCAUCCUAGCCUUUUUAGGACGUAGUGCGGUGGCUAAAUUGAGUGUUGUCUCAAACUUUAGUCGUCACGCGAUACUACACUCAAACUAGACCUUCUCACAAAUAAUCAUGGAACGGGUGUCGUCCUGUACUACCAUGAUAUAUGUGAGAGAGGUUGCAGUUUGGGAACUGUGUUAGAACCUUGGUUACUACCAUCCAAAGCCUUAGUUCACCGGACGCCGUGUCCAUCCGUGGUCUUGUUACUUUGAACCUCAACCCACAUUGUAACUAAACAACACAAUCAUGCAUACAUGCAUUCAUGCAUAAACAUUUUUCAUGCAUUCAUCGAAGGGUUUAAACAAAUGGAAAUUUUUGUAAAUAAUCACAGGUAUGAAGAAGACUAAGUGCUACAAGUUCAAGGAAGUGGAUUUGGUCAGUUUAAGAGAGUUGGCACUCAAGGUCAAGAGUCAAACAGGGUUCCGACUCCGGUAUGGGGGAUUGCUUACUUUGCUCCGAACCGAUGUGGACGAGAAGCUAGUGCACACUCUAGUGCAAUUUUAUGAUCCAAGCUUCCGUUGCUUCACUUUCCCGGACUUCCAGUUGGUUCCUACUCUCGAGGCUUACUCCAAUCUAGUGGGUUUACCUAUAGCCGAGAAGACGCCUUUCACCGGUCCCGGGACUUCUCUUCCUCCUCUGGUUAUUGCUAAGAAUCUCUACCUCAAGACUUCCGACGUCUCCAACCAUCUUAUUACCAAGUCUCACAUCCGGGGUUUCACUUCGAAGUAUCUUCUUGAUCAGGCUAAUCUUGGUACUACUCGUCAGGAUACACUCGAGGCUAUUCUUGCUUUGCUUAUCUACGGGCUCAUUCUCUUUCCGAACCUCGACAACUUCGUGGACAUGAAUGCUAUCGAGAUCUUCCAUUCCAAGAACCCGGUUCCUACUUUGCUAGCGGAUACCUACCACGCCAUUCAUGACAGGACUCUCAAGGGCCGUGGGUAUAUUCUUUGCUGCAUAUCUCUUUUGUAUAGGUGGUUUAUUUCGCACCUUCCGAGUUCCUUCCAUGAUAACUCGGAGAACUGGUCCUACUCGCAGCGGAUUAUGGCCCUCACUCCUAAUGAGGUCGUCUGGCUCACUCCUGCCGCUCAAGUGAAGGAAAUCAUUAUGGGUUGUGGAGACUUUCUCAAUGUACCUCUUCUUGGUACCCGUGGAGGAAUCAACUACAAUCCCGAGCUUGCUAUGAGACAGUUUGGUUUCCCUAUGAAGUCGAAGCCCAUCAAUCUUGCUACAUCUCCAGAGUUCUUCUUCUACACGAAUGCUCCUACCGGACAAAGGAAAGCUUUCAUGGAUGCUUGGUCCAAGGUUCGAAGGAAGAGUGUGAAGCAUCUAGGUGUGAGAUCUGGUGUUGCUCAUGAGGCCUAUACUCAGUGGGUGAUAGAUCGAGCUGAGGAGAUUAGUAUGCCUUAUCCAGCUAUGAGAUAUGUGUCUUCAUCUACCCCAUCUAUGCCUCUACCUCUACUCCCCGCGACUCAAGAUAUGUAUCAGGAGCAUCUAGCUAUGGAGAGUCGUGAGAAGCAAGUGUGGAAAGCUCGGUACAAUUAAGCCGAAAAUCUAAUCAUGACUUUGGAUGGUAGAGAUGAGCAGAAGACUCAUGAGAAUCUGAUGUUGAAGAAGGAGCUAGCUAAAGCCCGGAGGGAAUUGGAAGAGAAAGACGAGCUGCUUAUGAGGGAUUCCAAGAGAGCCAGAGGACGGCGAGACUUCUUUGCCAGAUACUGUGAUUCAGAUUCCGAGUCCGAUGAUCUUCCGACUACUUCCUAUGCUUGAGAGCUUCAUUUGUUUACCUUGUUGAAAAUGUUGUGUAAUUUUGUUUAUUUGCAAGAUUUCUAAUUUGUUUAAAAAUCCUUCGAUGAAAAAUGAGUCUUUUGCAUUUGCAUUUGCACAUCAUGCAUCAUAUGCAUCAUGCAUUGGUCACAAAGGCUUCCAAGUGCUCACUAGCUCCUGGUUUCUCUGCCGCAGUGUGAAAAGUGGCUCGUGCUCAGAGAAUUUACGAACCUGAUAGAACCGAUCGAACCAGAGAGUACAGAAGAAAGAAAAGGGCUAUGGAAGAAGAAAACACACAGCUUCGUACCGAAUUGGCAUCUCUAAGGGAGGAAUUGGCCAAAGCUCAUGAUGCUAUGACUGCUCUGUUGGCUGCUCAGGAACAACCAGUUCCUGUGGUUUCUACAGCUGCAAAUGUGACUCCUACCGUAACAACUGAUCCCCGCUCUAUCAUGCCAUCCGGGUAUCCUUACGGGCUUCCGCUGUACUAUACUGCUAAUACAGGGGCAGGGACCUCUGGUACUACCAACAAUGGCCCAAUCCCAGGGGCAAACUUAACUCCUGUUAGUACCGCCUUGACUCAAGCUGCAACAACUGUUACCGAGCCCAUUGUGAAUGCGGUGCCUCUAUUUGUCCAUGCUAAUGCGCACCACGGGAGUAUUACCACAACCGGAACUAUGGAAGAGAGAAUGGCAGAACUUGCCAAAGAGCUCCGACGAGAAAUUAAGGCCAACAAGGGAAACGGGGACUCCAUUAAAACCCAGGAUCUCUGCUUGGUAUCGAAGGUAGAUGUUCCAAAAAAGUUCAAAGUCCCGGAGUUCGACAAGUAUAACGGGCUGACUUGCCCUCAAAAUCAUAUUGUCAAAUACGUCCGGAAGAUGGGCAACUACAAGGACAAUGAUUCCCUUAUGAUCCAUUACUUCCAAGACAGUCUGAUGGAAGAUGCUGCGGAGUGGUAUACUAGUCUGAGCAAAGAUGAUGUCCAUACUUUUGAUGAGCUAGCCACUGCUUUCAAGAGCCACUACGGGUUUAACACUCGUUUGAAGCCGAAUAGGGAGUUCCUCAGGUCCCUAUCUCAGAAAAAGGAGGAGAGUUUCCGUGAAUAUGCGCAAAGGUGGAGAGGGGCAGCUGCCCGUAUCACUCCUGCUUUAGAUGAAGAAGAAAUGACCCAGACAUUCUUAAAGACCUUGAAAAAAGAUUAUGUUGAGAGGAUGAUCAUCGCUGCCCCGAACAACUUUUCGGAGAUGGUCACCAUGGGAACCCGUCUUGAGGAAGCCGUCAGGGAUGGAAUCAUUGUGUUUGAGAAAGCUGAAUCCUCUGCGAAUGCAUCGAAGAGAUAUGGUAAUGGACACCACAAGAAGAAAGAAACGGAAGUAGGGAUGGUGUCAGCUGGAGCCGGUCAAUCAAUGGCUACCGUUGCUCCUAUCAAUGCAGCUCAAAUGCCUCCGUCAUACCCAUAUAUGCCGUAUUCUCAGCAUCCGUUCUUCCCACCGUUUUAUCAUCAGUACCCUUUGCAACCGGGCCAGCCUCAAGUGCCCGUCAAUGCAAUUGCCCAACAGAUGAAACAACAGUUGCCGGUUCAACAACAACAACAACAACAACAGCAGCAGUAUACUAGACCAACUUUUCCUCCUAUACCAAUGUUGUAUGCAGAACUUCUUCCAACUUUACUCCAGAGAGGACAUUGUACAACUAGACAGGGCAAGCCACCACCUGAUCCGUUGCCUCCAAGGUUCAGGUCUGAUCUCAAAUGUGACUUUCAUCAAGGUGCCUUAGGACAUGAUGUCGAGGGGUGUUAUGCUUUGAAGUAUAUCGUGAAGAAACUCAUCGAUCAAGGGAAGCUGACUUUUGAGAAUAAUGUUCCACAUGUCCUUGACAAUCCGCUACCAAAUCAUGCCGCUGUGAAUAUGAUCGAAGUGUGUGAGGAAGCUCCUAGACUUGAUGUCCGCAAUAUUGCCACUCCUCUGGUGCCUCUACACAUCAAGCUGUGCAAAGCUUCUCUGUUCAGCCAUGAUCAUGCCAAGUGUCUAGGAUGCCUUCGUGAUCCUUUGGGUUGCCAUGCUGUUCAAGACGACAUCCAAAGUUUGAUGAAUGAUAAUCUUCUGACCGUCAGUGAUGUUUGCGUGAUUGUGCCAGUUUUUCACGAUCCGCCUGUCAAGAGUGUACCUUUGAAGAAGUGUGCUGAGCCUUUGGUGAUAAAGUUGCCAGGACCAAUUCCUUAUGUUUCGGACAAGGCAGUGCCAUACAAGUACAAUGCUACUAUGAUAGAAAAUGGAGUAGAGGUGCCUCUAGCCUCCUUUGCCACAGUAAGCAAUAUUGCCGAAGGGACUUCUGCAGCGCUAAGAAGCGGGAAAGUCCGUCCGCCGUUAUUUCAGAAGAAAGUAGCCACGCCAACCAUUCCACCAGUUGAAGAAGCAACUCCAACCGUUGUUUCACCCAUUGCUACAGAUGUGAACCAAUCAGGCAAAUCUAUAGAGGAUUCAAAUUUAGAUGAGAUUCUGAGGAUAAUAAAGAGGAGCGACUACAAGAUCGUUGAUCAGUUGCUGCAGACUCCUUCAAAGAUAUCUGUCUUGUCGUUACUCUUGAGCUCCGAGGCUCACAGGAAUACCUUGUUGAAAGUGCUGGAGCAGGCGUAUGUUGACCACGAAGUCUCGGUAGAUCGUUUCGGUGGCAUAGUGGGAAAUAUUACUGCUUGUAACAACCUCUGGUUUAGUGAAGAAGAGUUGCCGGAAGUGGGAAAGAGUCACAAUCUGGCUUUGCACAUCUCGGUGAAUUGUAAAUCAGACAUGAUAUCAAAUGUGUUGGUGGAUACCGGUUCCUCUCUCAAUGUAAUGCCCAAGACAACUCUAGAUCAGUUGAGCUACCGAGGGACCCCUUUGAGAAGAAGUACUUUCUUGGUCAAAGCUUUUGAUGGAUCUCGAAAGAAUGUGCUGGGAGAGAUAGACUUGCCGAUAACUAUUGGCCCUGAGAAUUUCUUGGUUACCUUCCAAGUGAUGGACAUUAAUGCAUCCUACAGUUGCCUGCUGGGAAGACCGUGGAUACACGAUGCAGGUGCGGUUACUUCCACCUUACAUCAGAAGUUGAAAUUUAUGAAGAAUGGAAAACUCGUUACAAUCCAUGGUGAAGAAGCAUACUUAGUCAGCCAGUUGUCUUCUUUCUCUUGUAUUGAAGCAGGGUCUGCUGAAGGGACUGCUUUCCAAGGUUUGACCAUUGAAGGUGCAGAGCCUAAGGAAGCUGGGGCUGCUAUGGCUUCAUUGAAAGAUGCUCAGAGAGCCAUCCAAGAAGGUCAGACUGCCGGCUGGGGCAAGGUGAUACAGCUCUGUGAGAACAAGCGUAAAGAAGGUCUCGGGUUCUCCCCGUCAUCAAGGGUUUCCUCGGGAGUCUUCCACAGUGCAGGUUUUGUUAAUGCUAUCUCUGAAGAAGCCACUGGAUCUGGUCUCAGGCCUGUAUUUGUUACACCAGGAGGCAUUGCGACAAAUUGGGAUGCCAUUGACAUUCCUUCAAUCAUGCAUGUUUCUGAGUAAUGUGUCUUGUUGCUUUAGUGCUUUGUUUUCAAAAUAACAACCCUCUCGCUCUGCCCAAAGCGAGAGUGAUAUUUUCUGUAAGGGCAUGUUUGUUUCGGCAUUGCCGUUGAUUAAUAAAAUUUUGUCGUUUCUUCCACGACUACUUUUUUUUUAGUGCUUUUUCCCUUGGAAACAAUGGUAAUGCCAGAAAAAACCAAAACGUCUGUAUUUUCUUAUUAAUUUCAAAAAUCUGCAUGAAAAAAAGACUCUUUCUAAAAUCAUUCAACCAUUCUAUGCAGUUUGAACCAUAAUAAACCCGUUGAACACAGUAAUCCUACGGUUCUUCCAAAUUUUGAAUUCCCUGUGUAUGAAGCCGAAGAUGAAGAGGAUGAUGAUAUACCAUAUGAGAUCACUCGAUUGCUUGAGCAAGAAUCAGCCUAUUGUAUGGAACGAUGAAUGCCAGGAAGCUUUUGAUAGCAUCAAGAAUUACCUGCUGGAACCACCUAUCCUUGUCCCUCCCGUGGAAGGAAGGCCUUUGAUUUUGUAUUUGUCAGUGUUUGAUGAAUCUGUGGGAUGCGUGCUUGGUCAACGAGAUGAGACUGGAAAGAAAGAACAUGCUAUCUACUAUCUGAGCAAGAAGUUCACCGACUGUGAAACUCGGUAUACAAUGCUUGAGAAGACUUGUUGUGCUCUAGCUUGGGCUGCCAAACGCCUGCGUCAUUAUUUGAUGAAUCAUACAACUUGGUUGAUAUCCAGAAUGGAUCCGAUAAAGUAUAUCUUUGAGAAAGCUGUUGUUACUGGGAAGAUUGCACGCUGGCAGAUGCUUUUGUCUGAAUAUGAUAUUGUGUUCAAAACUCAAAAGGCAAUCAAAGGUAGCAUUCUUGCCGAUCAUCUUGCCUACCAACCUCUUGAUGAUUAUCAACCAAUUGAAUUCGACUUCCCCGAUGAAGAAAUCAUGUAUUUGAAAUCAAAAGACUGCGAAGAACCGUUGAUUAAUGAAGGUCCAGAUCCCAAUAGCAGGUGAGGUUUAGUCUUUGAUGGUGCUGUCAAUGCUUAUGGUAAAGGAAUUGGGGCAGUCAUUGUAUCCCCGCAGGGGCAUCACAUCCCUUUUACCGCCCGAAUUUUGUUCGAAUGUACCAACAAUAUGGCUGAGUAUGAAGCAUGUAUCUUUGGGAUCGAGGAAGCAAUUGACAUGAGAAUCAAACACCUCGACAUCUAUGGAGAUUCUGCGCUCGUCAUCAAUCAGAUAAAGGGUGAAUGGGAGACCCACCAUGCUAAGUUGAUUCCUUAUCGUGAUUAUGCGAGACGUCUUCUGACAUAUUUUACAAAGGUUGAGCUGCACCAUAUUCCUCGUGAUGAGAACCAAAUGGCUGAUGCUCUUGCUACUCUAUCCUCCAUGUUUCGAGUAAACCAUUGGAAUGAUGUGCCAAUAAUCAAAGUGCAACGCCUUGAAAGACCUUCACAUGUGUUUGCUAUUGGGGAUGUGAUCGAUCAGGCUGGUGAAAAUGGGGUUGACUAUAAACCCUGGUACUACGACAUCAAACAGUUCUUGCUGAGCCGUGAGUAUCCGCCGGGUGCUUCCAAACAAGAUAAGAAGACCCUGAGAAGAUUGGCCAGUAGAUUCCUGUUAGAUGGAGAUAUUCUGUACAAGAGGAACUAUGACAUGGUAUUGUUAAGAUGUGUUGAUGAACAUGAGGCGGAGCAGUUAAUGCAUGAUGUACAUGACGGUACCUUCGGGACCCAUGCUACAGGGCAUACUAUGUCAAGGAAGUUGUUACGAGCAUGUUACUACUGGAUGGCCAUGGAGCAUGAUUGCUACCAGUACGCCAGAAAAUGCCACAAAUGUCAAAUCUAUGCUGAUAAGAUUCAUGUGCCUCCGCACGCUCUCAAUGUUAUUUCAUCCCCAUGGCCGUUCUCGAUGUGGGGCAUCGACAUGAUUGGAAGAAUUGAACCGAAGGCUUCAAAUGGUCAUCGUUUCAUCUUAGUGGCAAUUGACUACUUUACCAAAUGGGUUGAAGCAGCAUCUUAUACCAAUGUGACCAAGCAAGUGGUAGCUAAGUUCAUCAAGAACAACAUCAUCUGUCGAUAUGGUGUUCCCAGCAAGAUUAUUACCGACAAUGGUACCAACCUGAACAACAAUGUGGUGCAAGCUCUUUGUGAAGAAUUCAAAAUUGAGCAUCAUAACUCUUCUCCCUAUAGACCUCAGAUGAAUGGUGCAGUUGAGGCCGCCAACAAGAAUAUCAAGAGAAUUGUCCAGAAGAUGGUAACCACUUACAAGGACUGGCAUGAGAUGUUACCCUAUGCUCUGCAUGGCUACCGCACUACCGUGCGCAGUUCAACCGGGGCAACCCCUUUCUCUCUUGUAUAUGGUAUGGAAGCAGUUCUUCCUUUGGAAGUGGAGAUCCCAUCUCUCCGUGUGAUAAUGGAAGCAAAGUUAUCUGAGGCUGAAUGGUGCCAAAGCCGGUAUGAUCAGUUGAAUUUGAUUGAGGAAAAACGUAUGGAUGCCACGGCUCGUGGACAGUCAUAUCAAGCAAGAAUGAAGACUGCCUUUGACAAGAAAGUCCAUCCUCGAGAAUUCAAGGUAGGGGAACUUGUAUUGAAAAGGAGGGUAAGCCAGCAACCCGACCCAAGGGGCAAGUGGACGCCUAACUAUGAAGGUCCUUAUGUUGUCAAGAAGGCCUUCUCCGGUGGUGCUUUAAUCCUUACACACAUGGAUGGUGUGGAACUUCCAAAUCCAGUGAAUGCCGAUAUAGUCAAGAAAUACUUUGCCUAAAAAUAUGAAAAGAACAGCGUGGUAGGUCGAAAACCCGAAAGGGCGGCCUAGGCAAAAAUGCGCUUCCCGGUGGAUGGUAAACCCGAAAGGGCGGUCCAGGCAAAAAUAAGGGACAAAAAACAAAUAUGAAAAGCUCGCUGAGAUUGUACACAACUCAGGCAAGAAUGAGCGUCUCGAUGAGCCGAAAACCCGGAAGGGCGGUUCAUGCAAAAAUGAGAUUGAAACAAAAGGCAAGUAACUAUAUCUGGCCAACCACCGUCCCCCUUGGGGCAUCUGCAGCUGUUAAUGACCAUUUUCAUCAAAAGCUCUUAUGCUUGCGAAUUCAAAGUUUCUAGGAGAUGUCAUGAUUACUGUGUUCAAUGUACCACCAACCAAUAAAAUUACCAUUUUCCAAGCUUUGUAAAUCCGUGGAGUCACGCCUUCGGCUGACCACCACUCUUAUACAUCUAUUUGAGCUUGUGCUUUUGUUUGAAACUCUGCUUUCUUUUUACUUUCAAAGCUAUAUACAAAACAUUUUCUUUCUAUUUUGAUAAUGAUAAUGCUCGAAACAAACAUUUUGAAAAUUGAAAAAGUUUUUUUUGAAAAGCAAACCUGAGCAACAGGGUACAUUCAAAUGAGACAUGCAUGAGCGAGAGUAUGUUGAUGUCUAUUUCAAUAUAUGUUACAAGCAGGUUCUCCUCCAGGAUAAUCUGUGGUCAAUGGCAAGAAUGAAAAAACAGAAUGAAAAUGCAUGAAAAUGAAUAGGCUCGCUAAGUUGAAAACCCGAAAGGGCGGCUUAGGCAAAAAUGAGCACCCCGCUGGAUUGACAACCCGAAAGGGCAGUUCAGGCAAAAAUGGGGCAUUGAAGAGAAUUUAUUUCCCCGGUGGAUCGAAAACCCGAAAAGGCGAUCCAGGCAAAAAUGGGAUGCAAAAAAAAAAAAAAAAAUGAAAAUGAUGAAAAUGAGAAUAUAACAUGCAAAAAGCAUUGACCACAGAUGCAAUGUCUACAACAUGCCCAGCACAACGGCAUUUCCCCAGUAAAGUCUCUCAAGAUUCUAUCCCCAGCAAGUUGCAUAGCUACCUGCCCUCAGCCAUUGGUUCCAAUACGUCUCCCAACGACGUCAUCUCCAAAGAGGAUUUCCAAGAAUGUGUAAUAUAGCACGAGCCACUACGUGCCCAAUACUCUGAUGUCUUGUCUUCCCCGUGAAGUCGUGCCUACAAACUGCCAACAGUCAUGCAUUACAAGCAUUCAUACAUGCAUAAUCAUGCAUAUUACGUGCCCAUGCAUUUAAUAAAACUGUUAUAUCAUCCAUGCAUAUCGCAUUUCCAAUAACAAUAUCAGUCUCAAUUCAAAACUCAUGUCAGGUUCUCUGUCAAAACCUUGUGAGCCAAUAAUAUCGAUCAAAUUUUACCUUUCAAACCAAAUCGACGUCAAGUCAAUCUCAAUCUAUAUUUUGUCAACAAACCAAUCCCCAGUGAAUAUGUUUCUGUUCGGUCAAGUUACUAGUUCGCAUCCAAGAACGACUUGCAUCCGUUUACUUUUCAAUGUUAUCGGUCAAGUGACUAGCUCAAUCCAAGAGCAGCUUGUACCUGUCUAUCUGUUUCUGUCCGGUGGAGUAACCAGUUCGCAUCCAAGAACAAGCUCGCACCUGUCUAUUUGCCUUGCUUUCAGUCGAGUAACUAGUUCGAAUCCAUAAGAACAACUCGUACCUGCCAAUUUUACAUGUUUUCAGUCGAGUCACCAGUUCGCAUCCAAGAACAAGCUCGCACCUGUCUAUUUGCCUUGUUUUCAGUCGAGUCACCAGUUCGAAUCCUUAAGAACAACUCGUGCUUGUCAAUUUUCUCUUUUUUCCAGUCGGGUCACCAGUUCGAAUCCAUAAGAACAACUCGCACUUUCCAACAUCCCCAAGUGAGUUACCAGUUCGGAUCCAUAAGAGCAACUCAUGUUUGUCCAGUAACCUCUAUCCCCUGUGAAGUGACCAGUUCGAAUCCAUAAGAACAACUCGCAGUUGUCUGUUUGUUUCAUUCCCGGUCAAGUGGCUAGUUUGAAUCCAAGAACAGCUUGUACCUGUCCAACUUGUUUCUAGUUUCCCGUUACUCUGCUAUUCACUAUCUUUGUCAAUGUCUACCAAUCCCGCAAUGGAUACGACAUAUUUUGUUAAUUCCAAUCCCCAUGAGGUCUUGCAUUCAUAAUCCAAAUGAUGCAUGGCAUGCAUAUUAUUUGAAAAUGGGUAGGCGUAUUUUUACGUCCAAACACAGUGCAAAUGCUAAUAUUUAAGUAUCUUCGUCCUGUCAAGCCAAAGACUCCGUCUCUUGACUCUUCAGACAAAGAAACUUAAAUAGGGGCAGCUGUUAUACCCUGUUUUUGGACCUAAAAAUACUGGGCCCAAUUUCAUUUCAAACUUUGUCAAUUAUCAAAUUUCAACUGCACAGUUCAAACUGUCUCUGCCUCGCAGUAUUUUCAAUCACAAUUUUACCUAUGUUUUUCUUGCAUAAAACCUUUCGAAAUGUCUUUACUUGUCUUGUAAGUCAUUUAAAAGUGUCUCUGAAUCAUUACAUUGCUUUUUCUACAGUUUAUUUCAAAAUUUGCAAAAAGUCAUACAGAAGGGUAUUUUGGUCAUUUCCUGCAGUGGGACCCAUUUUCAUCCUUGUGACUGUCUCUGAGUCUUUUCAAAUUCAUUUUUAACUUUCCAUCAGUAAACCUUGCUAAUUUCAUUUCAAACUUGCAUCUGAGUCAGUGUCGAGUCAAUUUGGCUCUGUUUAGGUCAUUUUUAGCCCUAGGGGCAUUUUGGUCAUUUCACAUAAAAUUUUGGCAUGGGGAGGUUACUUUGAAGUACCUCAUUUAAGCCAUUGGUUCGUUUUAGUCCGUUUUGUCAGCUUUAUUUUUUGUUUCACUUUACGUUUGGUCAAAUUUUGUUUUUUAUUCAAAUUUUAUUUUUAAUUGCAUUUUGGUCCCUCAAUUGAGGUCCCAAAAUUGCAUUUUUGUCCAAACUGUUUUUUUUAUUAUUUAUUUCAUUUCAAGUUUUUUUUAAUUUUGCAGUCCAGUCCUUGUCAUUUUCACAAUUUGCAGAUUGGUCCUUAAAAUAGCAAGCAGCGCCCAAGUGAGCAAGUCCAGGGUACGUGUCACAAUUUCAUUGGCUCAAGUGUACACAUGUCAACUAUAUAAACAGUGAGUCAGAUUCAAAGCCAUUAACCACACGCCAACUCAUAAACACAUUUCCAAUUUUCUCUUUCUCAAGUAACUAGAUCAAAACAGAAAAUCACAGAGAAAUCACCAAGAACACGAAACCCUAACCGUUUUUUCAGAAAUCAAAUUCAUCAGAAUCAACAGUUUUUGGAUCAAUUCUCAGAGAUUCUGUUGAAUCUUCAUCAUCGAAUUGAUCAUUCUCUGCAAUUCCAAACGCGAGCUCGCAUUAAAGCAAGCUCAAGCGUUGAUCACAGAGCGUGAAAAGAAGAGGGAAAGAAGCGAAGUUCUAAACCGGCGAAGAAGAUGAAGAAACGGAAUCAGUGAGAAAAGGAGAAUCACCGAUUUAUUUUCGGUCCCAGAACAAGCAAAGGAAUCAAAAACCAGCAAGAACAUUCAAGUUUUCCCAAAGAUUUCCUCCAUUAAAGGUUUCAACCAAAACCUUAGGUAAAACUCAGAAUCUUUUCUCAAAAGUAAUAUCACUGUUAAACCUGUAGAAAACAAUCACGCAAGCAAAGCAUAUCAAAAAAUUUCCAGAAUUCAAAGAAAACCGUAACCGUAAACACGAAACCUAGAUCCAUAAGGAUCUAAGUUUUGAAGGCAAGAACGAGUACUAGAAGCGUAAUCAAACAACGAAACGAUGUAGAUCUUUAAACGAUCUAAACAUUUCUUUUCAAAAACCAAAAAAUCAGUUUCAAAAACCGUACGGAACUUUUUAGAUCUACAACGUUUCAAACCGUAUUUGAAAAAACAGCUGCUGGAUUCGUGUUUAGGGUUAAAGGACGAAUCAAAAGGAGUAAGAAUCUUUGAAAUCUGGAAAUUUAGGUCACCGGAAACUGCAUGAACUCGCCGGAGAAGAUGAAGUUUCCGGCGGACCUUCAAGGUCUCCGCCGUAGCUUCAUCCUCGCCGGCGGCGAGGUUAGAGAGAAGUGAGAGGAGAGGGAAACUUAGAGAGAGAAGGAAAUGAAAGAAAUGGACUGGACCGGUAUCCAUGUCCUUAUAUAGACGCGUGAACCGGUCCGGUUUAUUUCGUUUUCAUUUUGAACCGUAGGAUCUAGGGUUUUCUCCUUUGAACGGUUGUGAUGCAUUGUUACCAUAUGCUUGAUUUAUGUUGCCAUGCGCUGUGUGUUCUAAACCGUCAGAUCUGAAUCUGGAUCGAUCCAACGCCUCUGAAGCCUUUGGAUGAUCCAGGCCCAGUCUGUAUUGGAUUUUGGUUUGGGCUGGAAGUUUUUUACGUUUUUUGCUUUCUCUCUUUGCUACUUGCACCAUAAUUGCCUGCUGUUUGCACCCUUUGUUCAUGCUAAUUUUCACCAAUAAAUUCCAAGAAAAUUACCAUGACAUUUUACUAUUUUUUCUUGAUAAUUUUCAGUGGUAUUUUACUUGGAAAAGUUGGUAAAAUUUUGGUGUUGAUUUGUCAAGGGUUUUUACUAUUUUAAGUCACUUUUCUCGCAUUUUUACCCUUUACCUCGUGCUCAUAAUGUUCGUAUUCGUCAUGUUUAAUUUGCAUACUAUUUCAUAUGAAUUUUGCUACUGUUUGCUAUGCAUAUGUCACUGUUUUGAUGUGUUGGGUUUUAUUCUUGCAUCAUACGCAUUAUUCAUCACAUGUGUCCGGCUUAUUUUCAUCGUCACUCUACUGUCUUAUGCCAUACUUUCUUCUAUCGCUUUAUGCCAUAUUCUUCUUUUACCACUUUCUACUAACAUUUCCUUUCAUGUUGAUCACUUCAUAGCACUUCAUUAUCUUCACUAUUGUCCCCGUUAGUUUAGUUUUCUUUUUUUUGCAAAUUGUAAUUCAUUCGGUGAUGCAAUAUUUUACUAUUGGUUUGUAGCUUGGCAAAGAGGCCAUAGAAUGUACUUAGGCAACGUUGUAAUAUGGACUAUGGACACUAUGGCGCACCGACACGCACACACUCACCUUAGAUGUAUGCAUAGGAUUGUAUGGUUAGAUAAGCGCUUAGGUUUUAAACACUUAGAGAAAAUCCAUCUUUUUUUUUUCAAAAAAAACAAUUGAACUUCACUUCAAAAAUUUUCAUAAUAAGUAUGAAGUCAACACUUCAUUUUUUUUCCUUUCUUUUUUCUUAAGAAAAAUUCAAUUCAUCUUAAUCAUUUAGACUUUCUUUCUAAUCACUAAUCAAACCUCACUUUUUUGCUAAAUCUAAUGCUCAUGAAGCCUCCCAAUCUCCUUCUUCAAAACUUUUUUUUUAAAACUUAAAAUCAAACAAUUAAAACAAAAAACAAGUCUUUUUAGCAAGAACUACGCCGGUUUUGAUCCCGUAAAACGGUACGUAGGCAAUGAGUCAAAACUCAUCCAAGCCGAAAUAAAAUCAAAGUCUUACAACUUCUCUCCCCCCAUUCUUAACUAAAUAAACCUCCCAUUUUCAAAAGUAAGUAAAAAUAAGCAUGAAUAUAGACUUAGGAAAACGGCUCCUAUAGAGGACUAUAGUUACUCCGGGUGCUUAACACCUUCCCGUAGUAAAACCGACCCCCGAACUUAGAAUCUAAGGGUUUUUCUCAAUUUUGCCCUUCCCAAGAAAAAAUAGAGAAUAUCAACGGUCAAAAGGUUCAAGUCCAAUUAAUGGCUUGGCACCCAAAAACCAUGAUAACAACCAUUAUAAGUAUCAUCAUGGUAAUAUUGCUCGGUAGGGUCAUACAUAUGCUCCUCAAUCACAUGUUUUCCCUUUAUUUGUUAAGCAGUUUCCUUUCUAUUUGAUCUGGUUAAAAAUGGUUGUGAAGCUUUAGCAUAGCGGUUUGUAGGCAUGGGGUUCUGUAUUCGUGUUGGCAGUCUGUUUAGCUCGAAAGAGACGUUAUGUUUGUUGCAAUCGCAAGGAGUUGUUGGUUCUUGAAUCCAUUUCAUGUUGACGGUUGGUCUAUACACCACACGUUAGACAUUCACCAAUGUUAUUCUUAUUUCUUUGUAUCACCUGAUUGGAUUGGCUUACAUUUGUGUGGAUCGACUGAGUUAGGUUUAUGUCCCCCCAGUUCUUUUUUGUAUUUUUUUCCUUUUUAUAAUAAAAAAUAUGACCCCCUGACAUAGACUGAAAUUUGCAAGACAUUUCAACUUUGUUGAACUGUCUUCUAUUCCUUUUUUAUGUGCUCAAAUUUUCUCUUCUCAUCUCUUAUUUUAGACGCUUGAUAUUAUUUUGUUAGUCCAGUGCCUAAUAUGAAAAUCAUUGGUUAAGCCUUAAAGGAAAUACAAUAUAAGAAUAGUACCAAAUGUUUUUGGAACAUUGGUUAUGCAUUAAAAUAGGUAAUAUUUUAUAGGAAAAAGUUUUAUUUACAAAAUUACAAUGUUUUAUCUGUAUUCUCGAAACAAAAAUUUACUUUAUGUAUUACUUAAUCAAUAGUUCAUCCGUCCUAAAUUAUAAGUCGUUUAUACUAUUUUACGCAAAUUAACAAAUGUAAUUAAUUUUAGGGGUGUAAAUGGUUCGGACGAAACCGAUGACACCAAACCAAACCGAAAAAGUAUCCGACCUUGUUUGAUUCGGUUCAAAACCGAACCAACCUAAACCAAUAUAAUUUGGUUUGGUUCUUGGUUUCAAAUUUCGAGAUCCAAAGAACCGAUGAACCGAACCGAUGCUAAACUCACUCAUCAUUAUAGUAAUAUUAUCCCCCUCGCACACAUUCAUAAUUAAGCUCAAAAUUAAAGUCCAACAUAAAAUACUCCUUAAUUCAUUCACUUUCUCCUAUCAUCAUCUUAUCUCAUCACUCACACUCUAUUCCAUUUCUACUAAAAAAAAUACUACCUGUCAAUCACACCUAACCUAUUGUUCCUCACCAUCACAGGAUCGUCCAUAUCUUGUUAGUUUUUUCAUGCAAGUUAUACAAAGUAGUUUGAAAAAUAGAGAACAAGAAAAACAAAGUUCUAUGAAAUAUUUGAGUAUGUUGUAUGCAUGAAAUACAAAUUUGUGAAAAUAUGAAUUUUUAUUUUAUUUUAUUUUCAAACAAACCGAUCAACCGAACCAAUCCAAGCGGACUAGUUUGGUUCGGAUUCUUUUUUGAAAAAUAAUAAAAACUGAACUAAACUGAACAGAUGAAGAUUUCAUUGGUUCAGUCAUUUUUUUUGACCAAAAACCGAUCCAAAUCGACUAGUUUUGUUCGGAUUCUUUUUUGAAAAAUAGUAAAAACCGAACCAAACUGAACCGAUGAAAUGUUCAGUCAUUUUUUUGACCAAAAGCCGAUCCAAACCGUUACACCCCUAAUUUUGUAUGGGAAAGAGAAGUUUUGAAUUAUUUUAUAUAUAACAUCACCCUGCCAUUAAUAGUAUAUGAAAGAUAAAUUAAUUUUUUUUAAAGUAAAGCGAGUAAUAAAUAUUUAAAAAUAUAAUAGAAUAAAAUAGCAUUAAUGACUCAUUUACAUUAUAAAAUGAUUUUUUGAAAGGAUGUUAUAAAAUACUACCUCCGUUCCUAAUUAUAGGGACCUUUUUGAAAGAAGAAGAUAAGGGAGCUAAGAAAAUUAAAAGGGGUAAUAAAUUUGUUUGUAAUUGUUAUUUCUUUUACAAUUUUAUCCUUUAAGAGAGAGGGUUGGUGUAUGUUUUCAACAUAGUACUUAAUGCCAAAAAUUUGUUAAUAUCUUUUUUUUACUGGAAAAAAAAAAAAAAAAGACAAACUUUUUUCCUCAAAAGGAUCUAUAUUUAAGAACGGAGGUAGUAACUUAUAAAUUUGAUAAUUUUUUUCUUCCAAUGUGACUAUAAUUUGGAACAUAAGGAGUAAUAGUUUUAGGACAUUCGUUAGCAAAAUUUAUCAAAUAGUCUUAUUUUUUCCAAAAGACAUCUGUCAUUUAAAUAAAGGUGUUUCUAAAAAGUGUUCUAAAGGUAUUAUUAAGAAAUCAAUAAAUAAAAAAUUUGUUUUGAAAAUAUAAGUUGUUAUAUUUGAUAAAAUAAUAAUUACACUACCUUCAUUAAAAACUUAGUUUAACCAAUACACCUGAGACACGGUUCUUUUUAAAUAAUUAUAAGAUUGAAUAGAGAAAAAUUAUUACUCAUGUGAGUGGAUAAUUUGACUAAAAAAAAGAAGGGAAUAUAUAAUGACAAUUGAAUGACAUAAUCACUAAAGAAUGUGGUAUUGAGCUCCAAAUUAGCAAAGUCCACAUUUUCAGAAAACCGAAAGGUUAAAAAAAAUGUACGUCGUAUUGAGCUCCGUCCAGAAAAUAUUUACAUAAUCAUGUUUUCAAAUUGACGUGUUGAAGCAGACUCAAAUGGACUACCAAGUGUAAUCGCAUAACAUUUUUUCAAAGAAAAAAUAUAAUAACAUUAUUCACACAUACCCACCCACUACCACCAAUAUAAAAUUAUUCACACACAUACCACGUUGUUAUUCUUUAUUUAAAACUCAAACUUAUAUACAACAACAGAUCCAUGAAAAACUCAUUAAUCCUUUACCAAUAUUGAUUAAAAAAAAUCCAGCUAGCUUCUUGAAUAAGGGCAGUAUCCACUUUCAUUAUGAUCAUGUUCAUUAUUCUGUUCAUGAUUUCAUGGCCACAAGCUGUAGCUGAAGAUAGUGAAGCACAAGCUUUGUUAAAAUGGAAACAUAGCUUUGACAACCAAAGCCAGUCUCUCUUGUCAACUUGGAAAAAUACCACAAAUACAUGCACAAAAUGGAAAGGAAUUUUUUGUGACAACUCGAAAUCCAUUUCUACCAUAAACCUUGAAAAUUUUGGACUAAAAGGUACACUUCACUCUCUCACUUUUUCUUCAUUCUCAAAUCUCCAAACACUAAACAUUUACAAUAACUACUUUUAUGGAACCAUUCCCCCACAAAUUGGUAACAUCUCAAAAAUAAAUACAUUGAAUUUUUCUCUAAAUCCUAUUGAUGGUUCCAUCCCUCAAGAAAUGUUCACAUUAAAAAGUUUACAAAAUAUUGAUUUUUCCUUUUGUAAACUAAGUGGAGCAAUUCCUAAUUCCAUAGGAAAUUUAUCCAACCUAUUGUAUCUAGAUUUAGGAGGCAACAAUUUCGUUGGCACUCCUAUUCCUCCUGAGAUUGGAAAAUUGAACAAAUUAUGGUUUCUAUCAAUUCAAAAAUGUAACCUUAUUGGUUCUAUUCCAAAAGAAAUUGGGUUUUUGACAAACCUUACUCUUAUUGAUUUGUCAAACAACAUUCUUUCUGGUGUUAUUCCUGAAACCAUAGGGAACAUGAGCAAAUUAAAUAAACUCUACCUUGCUAAAAACACCAAGUUGUAUGGACCAAUUCCUCACUCCUUGUGGAACAUGUCUAGCUUGACCUUGAUCUACCUUUUUAACAUGAGUCUUUCUGGUUCAAUCCCUGAAUCUGUCGAAAACUUGAUUAAUGUGAAUGAGCUUGCACUUGAUCGCAAUCGCCUUUCUGGAACCAUUCCUUCCACAAUUGGAAACUUGAAAAACCUCCAAUAUUUGUUUUUAGGAAUGAAUCGUCUGUCAGGAUCAAUUCCUGCCACUAUAGGAAAUUUGAUCAAUUUGGAUUCCUUUAGUGUCCAAGAAAACAAUCUCACAGGAACUAUUCCAACUACAAUUGGAAAUUUGAAUCGGCUCACUGUCUUUGAAGUAGCUGCCAAUAAACUUCAUGGUAGAAUUCCAAAUGGACUUUAUAACAUAACCAAUUGGUUUUCCUUUAUUGUGUCCAAAAAUGAUUUUGUUGGCCAUUUGCCGUCUCAAAUAUGCUCUGGUGGAUUGUUAACGUUAUUAAAUGCUGAUCACAACCGUUUCACCGGUCCUAUACCAACAAGUUUGAAAAACUGUUCUAGCAUUGAAAGAAUCAGGCUGGAGGUGAAUCAAAUAGAAGGUGAUAUAGCACAAGAUUUUGGUGUGUAUCCAAAUUUGCGAUACUUUGAUGUCAGUGAUAAUAAACUUCAUGGACACAUUUCACCAAACUGGGGAAAGAGUCUUAAUCUUGAUACUUUCCAGAUAUCCAACAAUAAUAUUUCUGGGGUUAUACCAUUAGAACUUAUUGGUUUAACCAAGCUAGGUAGGCUUCAUCUUUCUUCAAAUCAAUUUACUGGGAAACUUCCAAAAGAAUUAGGAGGCAUGAAAUCAUUAUUUGAUCUCAAGCUUAGUAACAAUCAUUUUACAGAUAGCAUCCCAACAGAAUUUGGAUUGCUACAAAGACUUGAAGUGUUGGAUCUCGGAGGAAAUGAGUUAAGUGGCAUGAUACCGAAUGAAGUCGCAGAGCUACCAAAGUUACGAAUGUUGAAUUUGAGCAGAAACAAAAUUGAAGGAAGUAUUCCUUCUCUGUUUCGUUCAUCUCUGGCUUCACUUGAUCUUAGUGGAAAUCGUUUGAAUGGAAAGAUACCAGAAAUUCUUGGAUUCUUGGGUCAGUUGUCAAUGUUGAAUCUCUCACAUAAUAUGCUUUCAGGCACCAUUCCUUCAUUUUCUAGUAUGAGUUUGGAUUUUGUUAACAUAUCAAACAAUCAGUUAGAAGGGCCGCUUCCGGACAAUCCAGCUUUUCUUCAUGCUCCGUUUGAAUCAUUCAAAAAUAACAAAGACUUGUGUGGAAAUUUCAAAGGCUUGGAUCCUUGUGGAAGUCGAAAGAGCAAAAAUGUCCUCCGAUCGGUAUUAAUUGCUUUAGGAGCUCUAAUUUUAGUAUUGUUUGGUGUUGGAAUUUCGAUGUAUACUUUGGGUCGAAGAAAAAAAUCAAAUGAAAAAAACCAAACUGAAGAACAAACACAAAGGGGAGUACUAUUUUCCAUUUGGAGUCAUGAUGGGAAAAUGAUGUUUGAAAAUAUCAUUGAAGCUACUGAGAAUUUUGAUGACAAAUAUCUCAUUGGAGUUGGAAGUCAAGGAAAUGUUUACAAGGCAGAGUUAUCUUCAGGUAUGGUUGUUGCUGUGAAGAAGCUACAUAUAAUAACAGAUGAAGAAAUCUCACAUUUCAGUUCGAAGUCUUUUAUGAGUGAGAUUGAAACCUUGUCAGGAAUCAGACACAGGAACAUCAUAAAGCUUCAUGGAUUUUGCUCACAUUCUAAAUUCUCAUUUUUGGUUUACAAGUUCUUGGAAGGAGGAAGCUUAGGUCAAAUGCUAAACAGUGAUACACAAGCCACUGCAUUUGAUUGGGAAAAGAGGGUGAAUGUUGUUAAAGGUGUGGCCAAUGCUUUGUCCUACUUGCAUCAUGAUUGUUCUCCUCCUAUUAUUCAUCGUGAUAUAUCAAGCAAGAAUGUCCUUCUUAAUCUUGACUAUGAAGCUCAAGUCUCCGACUUUGGAACGGCUAAGUUUCUAAAGCCAGGUUUACUUAGUUGGACCCAAUUUGCAGGCACUUUUGGGUAUGCAGCUCCAGGUUAGAUCCAUUUCCCCUCUCAUAUUAAAAUUGAAAUGAUUAUAUCACUUUUCGUAUAGAGUCAUUUCCAUGCACUUAUGGUGAAAACUUGUUUAUACGUGCAUCCAAUCAAAUCACUCCAAGUAAAUGAUAUUUUAUAGAUAAUUUAGGAAUUAACAUUAAAAAGUGGCAUCAUAGUGAGAUUUAACUGGAUGCAAGCGUAAUUUUUUUUACAGUGUUGUAUAAUACAAAUUAAAUCCCUUCAUAUGAUAUUGAAACUCAUAUUGAGUUGAGCAAAAUAUAACUUAUAUAAGUACAUUUGUUUUGUUGCAGAGUUGGCUCAAACAAUGGAGGUGAAUGAGAAAUGUGAUGUAUACAGUUUUGGAGUACUUGCUUUGGAAAUCAUAGUAGGAAAGCAUCCUGGAGAUCUCAUUUCAUUAUUUUUAUCACAAUCUACAAGGCUAAUGGCUAAUAAUAUGUUGUUGAUAGAUGUUUUAGAUCAAAGACCUCAACAUGUUAUGAAACCAGUUGAUGAGGAGGUUAUCUUGAUUGCAAGGUUGGCAUUUGCUUGCUUGAAUCAAAAUCCACGUUCUCGACCAACCAUGGAUCAAGUAUCUAAAAUGCUUGCAAUAGGAAAAUCACCUUUGGUGGGAAUGCAACUUCACAUGAUCAGACUAGGGCAACUUAACUAACUCAAUAUAAUAACUUAUUGUACUACUUGCUCCAUCCCAAAAUGACCCCAAAAUCAAUGAUCCUUUUCAAUAUCUUUCACAUUUGUAACAAAAAAAAAAAAAAUCACUUUGCAUUUAUAAUGAAGGCAUGUAUAUGAUAACAGUACUUUAUUAAUAUUCUUGUUAUUUCUCUUUUAUUUAUACAUUUUUCUCAGAUCGUUUGAAUAGGUCAACUGCGUCAGUUAUUUUGAGACGAAUGGAGUAUAUAACAAUAACAUCCGGUUUUUUUCUUAGGCAGACUAUACUUACCUCACGACCGAACUCAGAAUUAUCAUCGUCCCUUCCUCUAAAAACCGAAGGGUUAACAACAACAAAAACCGUGUAUUUUUCUUGCACAAUACUAUCAAUCAAUUUAUUUGCUCUUUUCAUAGGAAUCAAGGAUGAGUCUCUACAUCUAUCUUAUAUCUGUUCAUUUAGGAUUAAAAUGGCUUUAGGAAGACAAUGAGAUCUCAGACUUUCCUGAAAGCUUAGUAAGGGAGUCCUAAGUCAAAUAGCCUUAUUCAAUUCAAUGAUUUUUGAGUGAAUACCCGAAAGAAUGGACAAUCCACGGGGUCACUCUGUUCUUAAAGACUCAUGUUAUCAUUCACGCUUCCUGACCAGGGAUUCAAUACCUAUAAGGCAGCUACAUAUCUGCUAUUUAUUCAUACUUUAGAUUAGAAAUGAAGGACUCUCUCUAUCCUGAGUUACUUAACCAGACCCGGACCUGAGUAUAUACUAAAUUCUAAAUAAAAUGAGAAAAGUAGGAGACAACAAUGUAAUUGAUGAAAUUUCUCAAUGAGAAAAUUAUAGCAAUGGAGAAAUAUUAAUGAAGAAAUUUAAAUUUACAAAACAUAUCUAAAGAAUGAGCGAAUAAAAUUGAUCACACAGCGAAGAGUUUCUAACCUUCUUGGAGACAAGGUUUGGCGAGUGGUAGUCCACGCAUAGAUUCUGUGGUUUUGCUUAGAGUUAGGGAUAAAGGUAAAGAAGGUGUAGUAUUCCAUGUUUUCAAAUAUAUUAAAUGUUAAAUAAGUUUUUGAUGUUAAGGUUCAACAAUCAUUUAUUCGUGUAAAAGGCUGAAAUUUGUUUGUGAUUCACUGUAUAGUACAUACACAGUUAUGACAUGUUAUAAAUUUGUUUGACUUAAUCUCCAUCUGGUACAACAACAGAGACUGGAGUUAGUAACACUUUACAGUUGUCACUAAUUUGAUUUAGCAACAUUUGAUCGUUAAGUAUCAUUCAUUUCACCGUAACAAAAUAAAUAAGCUGAUGGGAAGUUAUGCUCAGAUGAAAAAAACAACAAUCAUCCUUGCUAACAAAGUGUUUCUACAAGGAUGAAUGGAUGUUUGACCCAAAUACUAAGCCCAAGUUCUAUGAGCCCUUGAGUUUAUUUGCAUGAUUCAUCAUGAAAAUAUUCUGUAUGUUUCUUCUGUCUUAUGAUGCAUCAUUGUUAGUUUUAGGAUUCUACCAAGUUUUUGAAUAACUUUUUAAGAAUGGUUUCUUGAGUGCUAUAUAUGUAACCAUAAAAUAUGGGAAUUAAGCAGAAAACAACAUUCAAAGAAGAUAGUUUGUUAGCAGUUUAGAUAUAGACCAGAUUUAUUCUUACAACAUUUCCUUUACCCUUCACGGUACUGACAAAAUGUGAUACAUUACAAGAACACAUUUACAUUGAUCGUGUAUAAAAUUUGAUAUCAUCUUUUACUAGGAUUUGAGUAUUAAAUGGAGCCAUCAAAAUGUGGCACAUUUUAUGGUUCUGCACAACAUGUAGUUGUCACAGGACUCCCAUUUAUCAAUUAUUACAACACAGAUACUUUAACUAUCACAACUUAUUACACUACAAUACCGAAACAACAACAAUGAAAUCGAUGAAAUAACAAAAGCAUACUAGUAUAAACCAAUAAUAACACUUUAAAUCAUUUCAUCUGCGUCUAACAGUAACGGGACUUCACACAAUGUUUCCCAUUUGUCCAUCACAGUUCUCCAAAUUCGUAUUUUCCCUUCGAAGAGUAAUGGGACUCCUUACAAUGUGUUUUCCAUUUGACCAUUGCAGUUCUCCAAAUUCGUAUUUUCCCUGUGGAGUCACACUUGUUGCUUGCACAGUAACUUUAAAUGUCUUCUUUUCACCUAUUUUCUUGAAUUUCAAGGAACUUGGUACAACAACAAUUUUAUAUCCAGGCAAUUGGGCUUUUGCAGUAUAUGUACUUCGUGGCCCAACAUUGGUAACUGUACGAGUGACAGAAACAGCAUUUAACCCAAGAUUUGGUAAUGUGAUUGAAGGGUAAUUCAAGUCAUUUAUGCUUUGAGUUCCAUAACAAGUGAAUGUCAUGUUGAAAAUAAGUGAUGAGAUGAGUUUUUGAUUGUAUCCAGCAGCACAUAAGAAGUUCAAGUAAUCCUUAAUCCCUAGAUCAUAAACAAGUCCUGGAUCUAUUGCACUGUUGGGUUGAAUAUGUCCUGAACCAUAAGCAAAUGCAUUUGCAGUUGUGUUUUCGAAUGCAUCUUCUAUCGGCUCGUUGGUGUUAUCUCUUGUGGUUGCUGCAAGGUCACAUUUCUUCGUAAGUAAGUAAUCAUCUUAAGUAUUAGACAAAUACGAUUUUUCUAUGACCAAAUCUAGUGAUAUAUCUUAUAAGUAUGUGAUUCCAUUGGGAAAAAAUUCUAGCUAUAUACUGAGUUCUAUAACCAUUUAAAGAUGUUAUUUAUAAAAUUUAUUAAAAUGUUACUUAUCACAUAUAAAAGUCACUUCUAUUUAUAUAGCACAUAUUGAGUUCACGCAAGCGAAAGGAGUGCAUCAUGUAACUCAUUUUUUUAUGUCUCUAAUUUCCUUUGAUGAUUAAUUUGUUAUAUGUACUUAGUUAUGAUUUUAGUUAUAUGUAUGAUUAGGAUUUCACUAAAUUAAUCAUAUAUUAUCUUGAUAAAUAAUCAUACAUGAAUAUUAAAAAUUAUGAACUUCAACUUAAAUCCACCAUCAAUUAUGAAUGUAUAUGUGACUAGCUAGCAUUUGCUCCAUAUAGUUUGUGUGUGUGUGUGUGUGUGUGUUGGGGUUGAGAGAAAAAAUACCAGUGGUCAUGAUAGCUGAUUUAAUAGCUGCAGGACUCCAAUUAGGAUGAAGUGUUUUGAUAAGUCCAGCAGUGCCAACAACAUGAGGACAAGACAUAGAAGUUCCUUGUUGUAUAUUGAAUGGAAAACCUCGACGAUUGUCUGUUACUAAAUUAGACACACUUGCAAGCAAUGAAUAGGCAGCAAGUAUGUUCACACCCGGCGCAGUUACAUCAGGCUGAAACAAAAAACAAAAGCAAUCUCCUUAACAUAUCAACAAAAAUUAAUGAGGAUUAUUAGAUAGUAACUAACAAAUUCAAGUGUAGUAUAAACACCUUGAGUAUAUAUGGUUGAACUUUAUUUGGUCCUCUAGAUGAGAAUGAAGCCAUAACUGGAGCUGGCUUUCUUCCAUUCAAAGCAUUUGCUGGUGACAUUCUUAUUGUAGCAUUCGUCUUUAUAUCUCUGCAAAAUAAAAAUAUAUAGGAUUAUGUAUAAAUGGUACCCUUCAUUUGUAACAUGUAAUUUAAUUAAUAAUAGGCUGAACUGCACUUUUCGCCCCCUAAGUUUCAAAAGCUUGUUACAAGAAAGAUAUGUAUAAGGAAUUAUUACUCAGGAGUUAUCUCUGAACCCUUUGGCGUUGUGAUUGAACGUGCAUCAUAAUAGUUGAUAGUAGACACAACAUGAGGCUCAGCAAGAAGUGUUUUUCCAUCAACUUCUGGUUGAUUUCUCAUAAUCACUCCCACUGCGCCUGCAGAUAAAGCUUCCUGACCUUCAGCAAUUGAAUUUAUUUUCCCUUCUCGAUCACACGCCACUACUUUACCAUUCACUUUUGAAGGAUCAAGCGUUCCUGGUCUACAAAAUUGACUGCAAAAAUAUGCAUAUGAAAAAAUUGACAAUCUUAGCAUCCUUUAUUUUUCACAAAUUUAAUCUCCAUGCAAAUUAUUUCUCACAACUAUCAACUCUGUUAUUGCAGUUUUGAUCUCUCAAAAUCGUGAGUGUUUGAAGUUUUAGUCUUCAAUUUCCCCAAAUUGGACGGUUUUAUUUUUGCAAUCAAAUAGUUUUUAAAGUCGACGAUUUGGAGAGAUCAAAACUACAUUAUGAAAGUGUGGGGACCAAAUUUGCAAUAAAAGGAACACCAAAAAUCAUAAAUUUUAAAAAAUAGUCAAUCAAAUAUACAAUUAACUUUUUCAUCAAUAUACAAGAAAAAAAAGUUUUGGAAUUCACACUUACGCAUCUACAUCUGUCACAUUGGCAAAUUUAGCAUCAGUAGAAAUUAUUAUAAGAAAGUCUUGGUUAGGUGGCAAGUUUACAAAAAGACUGGCUCCCUAGUAAGACAAGAAAAACAUAACACAAUUAAUUUCAAUGCUACAAUAAGUAUAAAUUAAUAACAAUAACAAUAAUAUGUAACGAAUAUAAACAAUAAGAAGAAUAUGAUAAAAAAAAACUAUAAGUUAAGGAUGAUACCGUGAGUGUUUUGUUAUUAAUAGUCAUGACACUGCUGAAGUCUCUGUCUAAUGUACUAGCAGCAACAGUGAACACCCAUGGAGCAACAUUAGUAACACUUCCAGGGGUAGGUCCUUCAUUUCCAGCCGAUGCAACUAAUAAUAUAUUUCUAGCAAGUGCAUGAAAUGCACCUAUUGAAAUCUCAUCAGUAAAAAUAACUUCAGGAUUUGUAUUAGGUUUGCCUCCAGCCGAAACAGAAAUCAAAUCAGCACCGUCGUAAAUUGCUUGAUCAAUAGCAGCUAAUACAUCGGCACCAAAGCAGUCUACAACAUCUGUUAGAGACCAACAUGCUUUGUAGGUUGCAACUCUUGAUCUUGGUGAACCACCUUUUAUGGUACCGUUGCCAAUACCAAAUAUGGUUGCGUUUUGUACGAAGUUUCCACCUGCUGUUGAUAGUGUGUGUGUCCCAUGGCCUACAAAGUCUCGCGCUGUUUGUUGUGAACUAGGGAGUUUACCGUGAAAGGCCUCGUAAGCUUUGUUGAAAAAUCUUGCUCCGAUUAGCUUUCUAGGUAGUCCAUUCAAAUAGACAAAAUGACUGUUAGAAUUUAUGUCAUCAAUGUUUUAAAACCGGACUAGACCGGUUUGUUUAUUUGAUUAAACCAGAAAUCGGUUACUCAUACUCUAUUAAUUGACAGAUUGGUUCAACCAUGGUUCACCUGUUGUUAGUUAAACUGGUUAUUUUAUUUUAUUUUUUUGCAUUCUUAAAACAAUUUUUAACACUUAUUUAUUAGUCAUCUGACUACUUGAUGAUAAUUUCAGACGGCCCCAAACCGCCAAAAUCAUUAUAGUAAUCUGAUUCCUUCGUGAUAAUUUCUGGCGGCCCCAAACUGCCUGAGUCAUUUGAUUCUUCACGUUUUGAGACUCCGACCGUCGGUUUUUCCAAAAGUUUUCAAUAUUAACUUCAAGUAGAAUUAUGAUUUUCAAUAUUACUUAAAUUAAAUUGUGCAAUAUACAAAAUAAAUUGACAGUGAAGCAAGUUGAAAGAGAACCUGUUACAUGGAACUUUCUUAGAAGUAUUGAGUUUGUCAAGUUGACAAAUGUUACCCCCACGCCAUCUUAAUGGAAUUGGACCUAUUCCUCUGUCGUUAAAACUCUCCGAUUCCGGCCAAACACCUAAUACAAACAAAACAAACAAUAGGAUAAUUAUCUUUUGAGUAAUUUAGUCAUCUAUUCUAGGUGUUUAUUUUAAGGGAUUAGUCAUCUAUAAUUAAUUAAAAAAGAAAUAGACCUUUAACAUGAAGAUUAUAAUAUUGAAUUUGAAUCUGUAAAUUUUAUCUUCACUUUCUCAUAAAAUAGUUGAAAUUCUUGUGACUUGUGAGCUACUUGACUUAAUUAUUACAUCGUGUAAUCCUCCCUUUUUUCAAUUUCUAAAUAAGGAACAAAACACGAGAUAUUGUGGCAAAUUAAAUAUUUUUUUUUUCUUCAUAUUAAUUAAGAACUCAAGGUGUCAAAAAAGAAAAGAAAAGAAAAGGGAACUCAAGAAAACAUGUUACCAAUUCAAAGAAAGUAUGUAGUUUUUGUCUCCAUGUAGCUCAUUAUAUCUAAGAAAAAAGGCUGAUCAUCCGGUUGUUCUAUAACAAACAUUAUGUAAAUUUUUUCUUUCCAUAUUAUAUCAUAGUUUUUUGUCCAAGAGGUGUCUUAAAGCUUAACUCUAUAACCACAAUUGUUAAUAAAAUUUCCUCUUCACCAAUUUUUUAAAAGAAGAAAAACAUUAUGUCAAUUUUGGUAGUCUAUAUCAAGUCACUAAGAUUAUACUAUCUGCAAAGACUUCUAUGCACAAGAUAACAAGACCAUAAAUAUUAAUAUUCACAAACAAAAAAAAAACCAUGAAUAUUGAAUAAUCAUACACAAGACCAUAAAUAUCAUAUUGUUAUUUAUUUUUCUAGUGAUAGGGAUUGACUCAUUUUUUUAGGGGACCAGUAUUAAAGUUAUUUAUAUUUUACUUAUGUUUCAUGAUUGUAACAUAACAACUCCAAUCAAGUACAAAAUAAUGUAGCACUAGGAUCUAGUUCAAGUGGUUGAUGCGUGCGUGUAUGUGUUGUAAAUCUGGAAUACCAAGCCUGGUUGUGCUAUUAAUAAAAAGGGCUUUUAUACAUGAACCAUCUUAGGUGGCAUACACCCUUUUACACCCACACACAUUUGUGACACAUGGCAAAAACAUUGAAAGAAGAGAUGAAAAUGGGUGAUGAUAUGAUGUAAAAUUACUAAAAUAAGCCUAACAUAUGGGGUGUGUAUAAGAGGUGUAUGAAAAAGAGUGUCUACCUAUCUUUUUCCUAAUAAAAAUAUCCAAACUAAGUUGCAAAUGUUUUUUCUAUAAGAAAAGAUAUUAAAAUAAAUGGGAACACUUAUUCACAAGUAUGCGUUAAACAAAAGUACACAGUUUGAAUAAAAGACAAAGUGGCAGAUAUGAAAAACACUACACAAAAAGGCACCAAAAAUUGACCAGCAAGUGCAGGACAAAACAUAGCAGUUAAUGAAAAUGAAUGAAUAUUAUUCUAUUUUAUAAGCAGAAACAAGUUGUAUUUAUCAGAAAUAAAGAAAGACUAUAAACCCCGAGUAAAAAAAGACAACACUGCAUAAGACAUAAAUCCAAAAGUAUAUAAAAACAAAUAUAUGCAAGGUACACAAGAUGCCGUUAUAAUUGACAUAAGAAGAGAACUAGGACAAAAAGUACACAGCUAUACCAUGCACCCAUGUAAACAACUAAUGAUGUGUCAUGUUGACUAUGUAAAAAAUUAUGUUUAUUUUGUCUAACAGAGAAUGUUGUUCUAAAUGUUGGAAAUUCAGCUUUUAUUGCAGUCUGUCGCCUAAUUACUACCAUUUGAGUUGCUUUGUGUUGGCUUUGAGGGGUGGAUUUAGUCCUACAUCAGAUAGAUAAGACUCUCGAUAAGAGUUUACAAAGAGGAGGCACUCCUCACCUUAUAAGCCGAUUUUGUGAUUUUGUAAGGAUGAAUUAUGCCCCAAAUUUCAAGACGAAUAUUAUUUUUUUUUAGGAAAACACUGAAUAUUGUUAUUAUAACUAAAUAAACGAUUUUUAUUGGAUUAUAGAACAUAGAAUGUGGUAAAAUUAUAAAGGUGUGUACCUGUAUCAAUGUUAGCUAUAAUGGUAUUUUCACCAAACCUUCCCUUUUGCCAAGCUGUGUUGACAUCAUUUGUACUUAGUCCAAGGAAUUCCCAAGAACGUGUUGUGUGCAGUUUAUGAGAUUUGCUUAAGAACACAGAUACCACCUUUGGAUUUUCUGCAUAUGUUGGAAUAUUGUGUAUCUAAUUUAAAACCAAACAUAAAAUGAUAUGUAUGAUUUAAUGUAAAACACUUGGCCAGUUGGGAUAAACAAUUUAAAUAAGCAUUUAUAGCAUGAGUGGUUGUGAUGUAAGUUCUUAUGUAUAAGCUUAUUAUUAUAACAAAAGAUAAAAUAAAGUAAAAUUAUUUUCAAAUAGUUGUUUCCAUAACUUAUCUUAGAAAGGUUAUGGAAAUAAGCUAAAAGUGGGUUAUAAAUAUGUCAUAAGUUAUUUUCAUAAGCUCUCUCAAAUAUUUUCUUAAGUGUUUAUGUCAUUUAAAAACAUCAAAUAUGCUAAUUAAUUAAGACAGUGGAAGCAUGCUUAUUAUGUUUCUGACUUGCAAGUUGUGCAGCUUCUUCCUCUUCAAGUAUAGCUGCAAAGCCAUUAAUCUGUUUAUUAUAUGAAUAAAUUAUUGCCUCUUCUGCCUCCUCGUGGCUGUGAAUGAUCAAUAUAUAUAUAUAUUAGUUAAUCGAUCAAUUUCCUCUAUAGAAAAGCUUAAGCUGAAUAUUUUAAUUAAUAGUUUUUUAUCAUUAGUAUAUAUAUAUACCUUCCCAAGAUUGAACCCAGUAAAUCAUAAUGAGAAUAUGUAGCAGUUUCAAGGUCAACAGAGGAAGGAGUUGGACCAUGUACAUGUGCUCCCAAGUAUACAAUGUAGCACUGUAAAAAUAAAUAGGAAACCAAAAACCAAAAGCUUAUGAAAUUAAUGAAAUCAUAAUCUUAAUUAUAAAGUAUAUAUGCAAUUAAGAAGCAAACUAGCUUACCUUUUUGCUUGCGUGAACAUGAUUCAGCAUCAAGAUGAAAAUAAGAAGUGAUGAGAAAAGAAGAUGAUGAAGAGAUAAAAUGGAGCGACCCAUUUUUCAGUCUAUGGAAAGUGUUGAGCUUAGCUUAGGGGAUAUAUGCUAAUUCAUCUCCUUAUGUAAUGAAAGGAACAAAUAUUUAUAUGGGUUAAAAGACAGCUCAAUAGUGUUUUGUUUUUUUUUGGACAGUUCAAGAGUAUUUUUAUUCUAAGCUUUUGGUAAGCUGAAUAAGAUAUUAUAUCAUAAAUUAAUAAAAGAAAGAUCAUAUCAUAUCAUAAUUCAAAUAAAGAUUUUGACAAACUUAGAUUUGUCAUCUUGGCUCCUUAAGAUGAAAAAAUUUGUUUUUAAAUUUGCUUAAAAUUUGGUGAUGAAAGUUCUUCAAAAAUUACGGCACGGUUAGUUGUAAACAUAGCGCAGUUUGGGUGCUUGAAGAUUGGUUUUGCUCGUCCAAAAUCACGGCGCGCGCGAUUUCAUGCAAUCGUGUCGUGAUUGUGGAUAAGGUUGGCAAUAAUGUUGUGUACGAGUUGAAGAUCGCGACGCGAUCCAAGAAAAUUGCGGUGUGAUAUUGUCUGCGUAUGGGCACUACAAAAGCCUCCAUUAAUCAAUUUUUGGUGAGCCUUUAAGAGAGAGAAUUUUUACAAACCAGUGGAUGCAACUUAAAGGCUAAGGGUUAAGUGUCUUUUGUGAGAUUCUUGGGUUGGGAAACACUUCACAAAUACCUUGGGUAGUGAGAUUUAAUUAAUAGAAAGAUCCAAAAGCUUUAUCUCUUGUUUUCUAGUUAUGAUUCAUUGUGAGUUUGAGUGACUUGGAAAAUGGACAAAAAUUAAGAUUUGUUCUUUCAUGGUUCGCGGGAUCUAAAUUCUUAUAACCUCUUUGUAUAACUCAUCAUCAUAGUAGAUUAUUGGAGAGUUGCUCUCUCCCCCAGUCAGCCGUAGAACAUAUUAAUCCGAACUGGAGUAAAUAAAUAUUGGUGUGUUGGUUUUCUCUACUCUCUUAUCUUUGUUGUUUUGGUUAUUCUUGUGGUUUUACUUUACACUUAAAUUUAGGUCUAUUAUGUUUUGUUAUUUUUUUAAGCUACUUUAAUUUAGUUACGAUUUCCUUUUGCCACGGAGCUAAAUUUAUUGGUGUGAUUUACAGUUCAAAUGCACAACAAUUUGGUUAGUAAAGACUAUUCAUCUUGUGUACUACAAGUUUUCCUUUGAAGUACCACCAUUAACAACAAUUAAUGGAUGUUUAGUACCUUUCACAAAAUAAUGCCAAAAAAUUGUGUGUUACAAGAGUUAGAGCCACAUUAGUACUCAAGACAUGCGUUUUAUUAGAAGCUACAACUUCUAUCUUUUAGAAACCACGGUGAAAAUAAUCUUGGAACUCGAGAAUUGCAAGUUAAAUGUAGUUCGAAAGAUACACUUAUUCAAAAUUUAGGAAAAAAUUAUGUAAAACCUCCACAUCAAACAAUGAAGGGAAUACAAAGAGUCAAAGGACAAAACAGAAUUGGACUCCUUGCCACAUAUUCUUAAUCUGAGGUAAAGUGGAAAUUUUCAAAUCAAUACCAACGUAAAUUAGUGGAAAAUUUCAAAUCAAUACCAACACCCUUUCAUACCAGCAGCAGUUUUUAUUGGUGGUGUCCGGAAUUCGAACCCAAACCUUGCAUAUAUUAUACAAUAUCUCUAUCAACUGAACUAAACUCACAGAAUACGAGCAGCAUGCCAGCAGCAGUUGAUUACAUACAUUACAUUCUUAAAGAUAGUAGCAAAUAAAAUAUUAUUAAUUUUUUCCACUUGCUCUCCCCUUCCAAAGUAGUUAUAUAUGAAGAAAAAAUUAACUUUCAAAGUCCUCCCCUUUUAAUGUCUUCUAUUUUUUUUCACUUGUUCCUUCUUUUUUUUUUCGAAACCCUCUCCUCCCUUCUCUUAAAAACUCGCAAACAAAGCCUAAAAGUGUGUAUUACUGUGCAUAUUCGUAUCUUUUAGAAAACCUUGUGUAUGAAGGCAAGUGGUAUAGUACCUACGGUGACCCUAAUAAUUGUCGUAUCUGAAAAUGAGUGCUCUAUUUCUUGAAAUGGUACUAUGAUGGCUUUGUUAUUUAUGAACUAUAAGAAAAUGUAUACCCAAAAUCAUGCAUUGUGAGUGGUUUUGACAAUAAAAAAAAGAGAGAAAAUGGUUUAAAGACAACUUUUACUAUUAAAAAGAGAAUAAGAAAAAUGAUAGAAGAGAUACAAAAUAUUGAUUAUUUUACAUUGAUUAUAAACUUGCGUAUAUGAUAGUUGAAGUUGAAAAAUGAAAUUAAAAUUUUAUUUUAUCCUUGUAAGUUAUAGUUGGCUUGUUUUUUUAUCUCUGGUGAGGCCUACGUUACCCCUUCAUGAAUUGGGGGUAAUUGAUCCCUAAUGACAAGUCUAAUUUGAUUACAGAAUGAAGAAGAUGAACAUUAGAUGUUUAGAAUGAAGAAGAUGAAAAUUAGAUGUUGAAUGAAAGAAAUGAAGAAGAUUGAUGUUUUUAAGAUGAAAAUGGUAAUUGGUUGUAUGAAAAAACCAAAAUGAUGAAGUCUACAUUAUCACUUGAUGAAUUGGGGGUAAUUUACCUAUAAUAACAAGUAGGAUUCGAUUAUGAAACGAAAGAGAUGGAGAUCACAUUUUGAAUGAAACAGAUGGAGAUCACAUUUUGAAUGAAACAGAUGUAAUUCCUUCUCAGUUUCGUUCAUCUCUUGCUUCACUUGAUCUUAGUGGAAAUCGUUUGAAUGGAAAGAUACCAAAAAUUCUUGGAUUCUUGAGUCAGUUGUCAAUGUUGAAUCUCUCACAUAAUAUGCUUUCAGGCACCAUUCCUUCAUUUUCUAGGAUGAGUUUGGAUUUUGUUAACAUAUCAGACAAUCAGUUAGAAGGGCGGCUUCCGGACAAUCCAGCUUUUCUUCAUGCUCCGUUUGAAUCAUUCAAAAAUAACAAAGACUUGUGUGGAAAUUUCAAAGGCUUGGAUCCUUGUGGAAGUCGAAAGAGCAAAAAUGUCCUCCGAUCGGUAUUAAUUGCUUUUGGAGCUCUAAUUUUAGUAUUGUUUGGUGUUGGAAUUUCGAUGUAUACUUUGUGUCGAAGAAAAAAAUCAAAUGAAAAGACCAAACUGAAACAAACACAAAGGGGAGUACUAUUUUCCAUUUGGAGUCAUGAUGGGAAAAUGAUGUUUGAAAAUAUCAUUGAAGCUACUGAGAAUUUUGAUGACAAAUAUCUCAUUGGAGUUGGAAGUCAAGGAAAUGUUUACAAGGCAGAGUUAUCUUCAGGUAUGGUUGUUGCUGUGAAGAAGCUACAUAUAAUAACAGAUGAAGAAAUCUCACAUUUCAGUUCGAAGUCUUUUAUGAGUGAGAUUGAAACCUUGUCAGGAAUCAGACACAGGAACAUCAUAAAGCUUCAUGGAUUUUGCUCACAUUUUUGUUGCGAAUUCGAUGAAAAAUCACACCAAUAACAACUUGAUGUGUGGAGUGUAACACCCCGUUUCCCAAAAUCAUAUAAAAUAUUAUAUUUCAACAAAAUCAGAGUAAAACCCCAACGGGCAUGUCACAUUACGUCAUCAAAAUCUCUUAAAUAGAAUAUAUAAAAAUCAAUUUGACUAAUCAUUCAUCAUUAAUCAACGUUAAACUUGCAGCGGAAUAUUUUUCAACUUAAAUAAACUCCAACAAUCAUUCUUGGCACAAACGCCUCAUCGAAAGAAAAACGAAUCAACCAAAGGGCUACAACAAUAAUAUUUCAAAAUUGAUACAUAGGAAGAAAUCAAGAAAAUAAAUCCCAUCCCACGUAUCAGAGCCCUAGACACAGUGAGCCACCACCUACUACUCAGGAUCACCUGCAAGUUACCCAUAGGAAGGGCAACAUUUUCAAGCAGAAGGGGUGAGAUUCUCAAACAAUAAUAUUAAUAUAUAAUAACGUCAAUGAAUCUAACACCCUAUCAUCAUCAUAAUACAUCAAUUAAAUAUGUACAAUAUCAUUAGCAACAUCAACAUCCAUUGGUAAAUAAACCAGCAAUUAAAGAUUUAUGCAACUACUCGACAACACCACAAGACUCAUGCAUGACAUGACGACUCCUCUAAGACUCCUCGACAAAUGCAACUAUGCAUGUGGUACCAUAUCAGGGCCGAGGCCCUCACCGUUAUAGAAUGGUUAAAGCAUUCUUUAUAUCAGGACAUGAGUCCUCCCAUUAUCACCGCUUUGAACAACAUAGUGUUCCACCGCUUUGAACGACAAGGCGUUCCAGGACCGAGGUCCUCACCGUUUUCAUGUUAUGCGACUAACUCCACUUGUGUAUAUCUACAUACAACUCGACAAUGCAUAUGUACUUAUAUGACUCACCACUCCUUCAAUGCAAUUACAACCUCUCCAAGUUCAUAAAAUUAACCACUCAAUUUAACGUUGUAGUAUAAUCAAGAUUUAAUACAUAUACAAGAGUUAUACAGGCUAAAGGAAAACACUUAGAAGUACUAAAAGGAUCCCCUAGUGCACGAGGCAAAGUUCAGAAAAAGGUUAACUAAGACCCAGUUCGCUUAAGCGAAGGGCAGCUCGCUUAAGCGACCAGCUACAGGAAAAUCUAGGUUCAGGUUCGCUCACGGUUCGCUCACAAGUUCGCUCAAGCGAACACAAUGUCGUAUCUAAAGGCAUUCUACGCUCACAGCUCGCUCACGGUUCGCUUAAGCGAACGGUUAAAGGAAAAUUCUGGGUAACGAUUAUGAUAGCUCGCUUAAGCGAUGGGAUGUUCGCUUAAGCGACCAUUCAUCAGUACAGGGUAAAAACUUACGAUUUCAGACUUCUCUCCACUCCAAAAACCCAAUUUUAAUCCCCUGAUCGCCCAAAAUGUUUUCCAGCGAUUGUUUACAGGUCUUAUACACAUCUAGGCAUCAAAAAGAACACAAAAUAUACAUUAACACGUCAAUUCAACUCAUUCCAACAAUCAUACACAUUUUCUCCCAAUUCAUUCAUCAUUCCUAAUCUCAAUCUAAUUCAGAAUAUAGCAGCAGUACAGAUUAAGAAAUCAUACAUAACAUCAAUUACCACAUGUUAAACAUAAUUCUUACACCUUUCUUUCAAAAUCAGUCUCAUACCCUAAUUCUCAAUUUUAUUCUUAAAAACUAUUCAACUAGAUUAAUUUUUCAGAAAUUAUAUAUUAUAAUCAUUGAAAGAUAAUCCCACCCUUACCUUAGAAUUGCAAAGACAAAGAAAGCUCAACAAUCGAUUCUCUAGUUCUUCUCUCUUGGUCUUCUCCCUUGCCUUAGCUUUUCUCUUCCCAACUUGUUUUCACGUUAAAACAGUUUUCUCACUUUUUCUUUCCUUAACUUUCCAAAACCAUAACCUCUUUUUUUUCAUUAAACCCUCCCUUACUAUUAUUAAUUUCUAAUUAAUCCCUAACCUCCUAAAUAAUUCUAUUAUUUCUAUUAUUCCAUUUAUAUUAAAUAAAUUAUAUAAAUAAAUACUAUACACCAAAUAAAGCACACAUAAUUUAUAAAAUGCAUAAAAGACUCUAAAUAAUUCCAAAAAUAAUAAAAUAACGACUAGGGCGUUACAUGGAGCAAGGGAUAAUUAAGAAACCAAAAAAACAAAGUGUAUGAAAGUUAUAAAUACAAGCCAAAAGUAGAAAAAAACGGCGAGAAGAACACAAAGAAAUUUGUUGACCCAGUUCGGUCCAAUCUGACCUAGUCUGGGGGAGAGAGCAGCCCUCCAAUCCACUAUAGGAUGAGUACCGUUACAAAGAGAAAUCAAUGGGUUACAAGAAUAAGUCUCCCGCCUAAUUCUACCCAAAGUCCCAAUCUCUUCCCGUACCCAAGAGACUCCAAUCCUAAUAGUGUUUCCCAAGGUGAAUCAACCCACAAAUCCUAGUGUUUGCUCCUAAGAGACAAACUCUAUACAAACCCUAGUUUUGUUGUUGCCUUUCUAAACCCUUGUUUCAGCCCCCUCUAUCUCAAAGUUUGCCUUGAUACAAGCUCUAUAUUUAUAGUAAAAGUAUAGCUCAUAAAUUUGGAACAAAUACCACACUGAAGAUUCGUUUUUUUUUUCUCCUUCAGUGAAAGAAUAUUUGCAUCAAAAAUAUAAUAUUCCCUUUCAAAAUAUAUUUGCAUCAAAUCGUUCUUCAUACGAUACAAAAAUAUAUUUAUUGUCCAUAAAUAUAUUUUCAGCACAAUAUAUAUUUGAAACAAAUCUUUUAUAUUUUUAGCAACAAUAUUCUCCAUCCAUCAAUUUUUGAGUCAUACUACAACAUUCUCCACCUUGACUCUAAAUUAGUGAUGAUGCCGAUCAUCAACCUCCUUGCUGCUCAAACCCUUGCUUCCCACUACUCCAAGUAGCUCCACAAGUUUACACCCUAACCUCUUCAGUCAUCGGAAUGUCUUCCGCCUUCUCGAAGAUGCUUGUAGUCCAACUACGCUAGGAAUUUCAGGUAGUUCUACAAGACUAUACCAUAACCUCUUCAAUACGAGAUAUCUCUCGCUUUCCUUGAAGAUAUACUUGUACCCAAUCACCCUUGGCUUUUAGAGUAAUCCACAAGUAUACACCUCAACCCCUUCAGCCAUCGGAAUAUCUUCCGCACUCUCGAAGAGUCCUUGCAGUCCAACUACACUAGGAGUUUUAGGUAGUCCCACAAGCUUUCACCAUAACAUCUUCAACGCAGAACAUCUCCUGCUUCCUUGAAGAUCACCUUGCAUCCAAUCACCCUUGGCAUUCUUUUAGAGUAAUCUCGCAAGCCGCGCUACACAUUCUCCAACUUCAUGAAGAAAUUCCUUGCUCACCAUAGAGCAUAGCACCCAAGGUCUUCAUAGUCGUACCAUUACAGGUGUGUUCAAGUCCACCUCACGCUGAGCGUACUCUACCUCAACUAGAAAAUGCGUACAUCCCACUAUGUCUUCAACCUUGAAACUCCACCUCAACAAGUAGAUCAUGAGUAUUCUUACCACCGCCUCUCCAGGCUGAUGUUGAGUGUUUAACAUCUCUCCAGACGACCACCGCUCCACUAGGCAUCACUCCCAAGGUGAGACACAUCACCUUCUUCAUCCUCCAAACAACACCACACCAUCAGAGCACCCGCAUCCUCAUAACCCUCAGAGAUAAUUUGUGCGGAGUUACCAUUAAUCUCCGGACAAUCCUUUUUGAAGUGACCCAUGUUGUGACAGUUAAAGCAUUCAAACCUUGACUUGUUUCCACUCUUUCUCCGGUUACCUCUACCUCCACCAUUCCCUCUUGUGACACUUAGGCCAUCACCGUGUUCAUGAGUCAAGUCCUUGGACUUGGUCAACUCCUUAGUUCUCAAAGCUGCUUGAACUUCUUCCAAGGUAACAGUGCCUUCCUUGCCAUAGAGCAUGAUAUCUUUGAACGAUUCAAAAGAUUUCGGUAGAGCACACUGAUGAAGGAUUUUUACCUCUCAUAAAACUAUUUACACGUAAGUAUAUAUAGGAUCGUGUCCACAGGGAGUUGCGUAUUUCAUAAGCAUUUUCACAAUAUUUGUCACGUUAAGUGUUUGGGUAUAAAUUGUUUGUUUGUGUAAAACUAUUUUCCUAAUCAACAUAAAAGUAAAGCGAGAAGAGAUAGGGCUAUUCCGCUUGCGGUCAGAGACAUCAACCAAGCGUAACAGCUGCAAUCUCUCGAUCGAUUAACGGAUUCUAGCUUUUUAAACUAUAUUAUCACAAUCACUCGACAAUAUCAUUCGUGUCCAAAUGAUAUCGUUAUUUCUAAGGGAUCGUUUAAACAUCGAUUUCCCAAACAUUUAAACGAUCACAAAGUCGAUUGGGUAGUUUAAUCGACGAUUUCCCAACCGAUUAAAUUACCCAAAAGCAUUAAGUCCUAGAUUAAAAGUGAUUAUCAAAUAUUAACAUCCAUGUCUAGAGUGAUAACUUAAGAUAGAUUGUUAUUCUAUUUCUAGAUUCAAAAGUAUGUGUCCAUAUCAUUUUGAAUCUCAAUAAAACAAUAAAAGCAAGAAUAACAACAAUAUUGAAUAAAUAAGCUAGAACCAUAUAUUAAAAGAUCAAAAGGUUACAUAAUAGCUUGUUUGAAUACCUCAAAACUACAAGAGUAGAUGUAGCUACAUAUGUCUAUGAUAGCUUUGCAAAGGAUGAAGAAAGGGUGAAGAUUCCAUGACAUGAUCCAUGAUGUCUCAACAAAUCUUGGCUUGAAUCUACUCCUAACUACCUUGCUUUGUGUUUCUCUCUCUAGAAAAGCCCUAGUCUCUCUCUAAAACCAGAAAAAUAUGAAUAAAAAUGUAAUAGAAUCUUUGGAAAGAGAAGAGAAAACUAUUUAUAUGGGCUGACUGCGUGCCAGUUCGCUUAAGCGAAGAAGAGUUCGCUUAAGCGAACAACCAGGAAAUCUCCAGUUGACCAUUGAGGUGCUGCCACGUGGUCCCUAUCCUCUGAAGUUGGAUGAACUUCGCUUAAGCGACGCAUAAGCGAACAUGUGAGCGAACUUUCCUGGAGCUCACUGGAACUUGGUCGCUUAAGCGAACCAUGGUUCGCUUAAGCGAACUGACCUUUCUUCAUGAGCGAACUGGAAGCGUGCUUGUAAGCGAACAGAACGGUUGCUCUCUGUAACUGGUUCGCUUAAGCGAACAGGAGUUCGCUUAAGCGAACGGACCUUGGUUCAGGAGCUUCCUUCUUUUCGUCCUUGCUUGUCGUUUCCUGCAUAAAUGGGGUAGAAUCAGGCAUGUAAAGCAUAAAUGGUAAAAUUGCACUCAAAUGGUAGCUUUUCCUUAGAUAACUUGCAAAACAAGUCACUAAUUUGCCUAAGUUAACACAUGAAAUAUGUUACUUUUGAGCACUUAUCACACACAACAAGAGUAUAGCUUUAUCCUCGUCCUCAAGUUGCACCUCAAUAUUCUCCAAGUCAUCUAGGAUUUUGUUGAACUCCGUAAGUUGCUCCAUGAUGGCCUUUGACUCUACCAUCCUGAAUGAGUAGAGUUGUUGCUUUAGGAAUUGCCGAUGAGCCAAAGACUUUGUCAUAUACUUGCCCACAUCGAUGCCGCGGUUGCUUCCUUUGCUACUUCUCUCAAAACUUUAUCCCCGAGCACAAGACAAUGGCACUCCUGGCCUUGUCCACCAUCUCGGUCUUCUCCGCUCGUGACAUGGUGACCGGUAACAAACCUUCACCCUUCAAAGCUUUCUCACACUUUUGCUGUAUUAACACCGCUUCCAUCUUUACCUUCCAUAACCCAAAAUCGUUAUCUCCGGUAAACUUAUCAAUAUCCCACUUUGAACCCAUGGUACUUAAUUAUCCUUUGACCCUUGCCCCACGGUGGGCGCCAAUUGUUGCAAAAAGAGGGUGAAGCUUAGGUCAAAUGCUAAACAGUGAUACACAAGCCACUGCAUUUGAUUGGGAAAAGAGGGUGAAUGUUGUUAAAGGUGUGGCCAAUGCUUUGUCCUACUUGCAUCAUGAUUGUUCUCCUCCUAUUGUUCAUCGUGAUAUAUCGAGCAAGAAUGUCCUUCUUAAUCUUGACUAUGAAGCUCAAGUCUCCGACUUUGGAACGGCUAAGUUUCUAAAGCCAGGUUUACUUAGUUGGACCCAAUUUGCAGGCACUUUUGGGUAUGCAGCUCCAGGUUAGAUCCAUUUCCCCUCUCAUAUUAAAAUUGAAAUGAUUAUAUCACUUUUCGUAGAGUCAUUUCCAUGCACUUAUAGUGAAAACUAGUUUAUACGUGCAUCCAAUCAAAUCGCUCCAAGUAAAUGAUAUUUUAUAGAUAAUUUAGGAAUUAACAUUAAAAAGUGGCAUCAUAGUGUGAUUUAACUGGAUGCAAGCGUAAUUUUUUUUACAGUGUUGUAUAAUACAAAUUAAAUCCCUUCAUAUGAUAUUGAGUUGAGCAAAAUAUAACUUAUAUAAGUACAUUUGUUUUGUUGCAGAGUUGGCUCAAACAAUGGAGGUGAAUGAGAAAUGUGAUGUAUAUAGUUUUGGAGUACUUGCUUUGGAAAUCAUAGUAGGAAAGCAUCCUGGAGAUCUCAUUUCAUUAUUUUUAUCACAAUCUACAAGGCUAAUGGCUAAUAAUAUGUUGUUGAUAGAUGUUUUAGAUCAAAGACCUCAACAUGUUAUGAAACCAGUUGAUGAGGAGGUUAUCUUGAUUGCAAGGUUGGCAUUUGCUUGCUUGAAUCAAAAUCCACGUUCUCGACCAACCAUGGAUCAAGUAUCUAAAAUGCUUGCAAUAGGAAAAUCACCUUUGGUGGGAAUGCAAAUUCACAUGAUCAGACUUGGGCAACUUAACUAACUCAAUAUAAUAACUUAUUGUACUACUUGCUCCAUCCCAAAAUGACCCCAAAAUCAAUGAUCCUUUUCAAUAUCUUUCACAUUUGUAACAAAAAAAAAAAUCACUUUGCAUUUAUAAUGAAGGCGUGUAUAUGAUAACAGUACUUUAUUAAUAUUCUUGUUAUUUCUCUUUUAUUUAUACAUUUUUCUUAGAUCGUUUGAAUAGGUCAACUGCGUCAGUUGUUUUAAGACGAAUGGAGUACAUAACAAUAACAACUGUCUUUUUCUUAGGCAGACUAUACUUACCUCACGACCGAACUCUGGAUUAUCAUCGUCCCUUCCUCUAAAAACCGAAGGGUUAACAACAACAAAAACCGUGUAUUUUUCUUGCACAAUACUAUCAAUCAAUUUAUUUGCUCUUUUCAUAGGAAUCAAGGAUGAGUCUCUACAUCUAUCUUAUAUCUGUUCAUUUAGGAUUAAAAUGGCUUUAGGAAGACAAUGAGAUCUCAGACUUUCCUGAAAGCUUAGUAAGGGAGUCCUAAGUCAAAUAGCCUUAUUCAAUUCUAUGAUUUUUGAGUCCUAAGCAGAAAACAACAUUCAAAGAAGAUAGUUUGUUAGCAGUUUAGAUAUAGACAUGAUUUAUUCUUACUACAUUUCCUUUACCCUUCACGGUACUGACAAAAUGUGAUACAUUACAAGAACACAUUUACAUUGAUCGUGUAUAUAAUUUGAUAUCAUCUUUUACUAGGAUUUGAGUAUUAAAUGGAGCCAUCAAAAUGUGGCACAUUUUAUGGUUGUGCACAACAUGUAGUUGUCACAGGACUCCCAUUUAUCAAUUAUUACAACACAGAUACUUUAAUUAUCACAACUUAUUACACUACAAUACCGAAACAACAACAACGAAAUCGAUGAAAUAACAAAAGCAUACUAGUAUAAACCAAUAAUAACACUUUAAAUCAUUUCAUCUGCGUCUAACAGUAACGGGACUUCGCACAAUAUGUUUCCCAUUUGUCCAUCACAGUUCUCCAAAUUCGUAUUUUCCCUUCGAAGAGUAAUGGGACUCCUUACAAUGUGUUUUCCAUUUGACCAUUGCAGUUCUCCAAAUUCGUAUUUUCCCUGUGGAGUCACACUUGUUGCUUGCACAGUAACUUUAAAUGUCUUCUUUUCACCUAUUUUCUUGAAUUUCAAGGAACUUGGUACAACAACAAUUUUAUAUCCAGGCAAUUGGGCUUUUGCAGUAUAUGUACUUCGUGGCCCAACAUUGGUAACUGUACGAGUGACAGUAACAGCAUUUAACCCAAGAUUUGGUAAUGUGAUUGAAGGGUAAUUCAAGUCAUUUAUGCUUUGAGUUCCAUAACAAGUGAAUGUCAUGUUGAAAAUAAGUGAUGAGAUGAGUUUUUGAUUGUAUCCAGCAGCACAUAAGAAGUUCAAGUAAUCCUUAAUCCCUAGAUCAUAAACAAGUCCUGGAUCUAUUGCACUGUUGGGUUGAAUAUGUCCUGAACCAUAAGCAAAUGCAUUUGCAGUUGUGUUUUCGAAUGCAUCUUCUAUCGGCUCGUUGGUGUUAUCUCUUGUGGUUGCUGCAAGGUCACAUUUCUUCGUAAGUAAGUAAUCAUCUUAAGUAUUAGACAAAUACGAUUUUUCUAUGACCAAAUCUAGUGAUAUAUCUUAUAAGUAUGUGAUUCCAUUGGGAAAAAAUUCUAGCUAUAUACUGAGUUCUAUAACCAUUUAAAGAUGUUAUUUAUAAAAUUUAUUAAAAUGUUACUUAUCACAUAUAAAAGUCACUUAUAUUUAUAUAGCACAUAUUGAGUUCACGCAAGCGAAAGGAGUGCAUCAUGUAACUCAUUUUUUUAUGUCUCUAAUUUCCUUUGAUGAUUAAUUUGUUAUAUGUACUUAGUUAUGAUUUUAGUUAUAUGUAUGAUUAGGAUUUCACUAAAUUAAUCAUAUAUUAUCUUGAUAAAUAAUCAUACAUGAAUAUUAAAAAUUAUGAACUUCAACUUAAAUCCACCAUCAAUUAUGAAUGUAUAUGUGACUAGCAUUUGCUCCAUAUAGUUUGUGUGUGUGUGUGUGUGUGUGUGUUGGGUUUGAGAGAAAAAAUACCAGUGGUCAUGAUAGCUGAUUUAAUAGCUGCUGGACUCCAAUUAGGAUGAAGUGUUUUGAUAAGUCCAGCAGUGCCAGCAACAUGAGGACAAGACAUAGAAGUUCCUUGUUGUAUAUUGAAUGGAAAACCUCGACGAUUGUCUGUUACUAAAUUAGACACACUUGCAAGCAAUGAAUAGGCAGCAAGUAUGUUCACACCCGGCGCAGUUACAUCAGGCUGAAACAAAAAACAAAAGCAAUCUCCUUAAUAUAUCAACAAAAAUUAAUGAGGAUUAUUAGAUAGUAACUAACAAAUUCAAGUGUAGUAUAAACACCUUGAGUAUAUAUGGUUGAACUUGAUUUGGUCCUCUAGAUGAGAAUGAAGCCAUAACUGGAGCUGGCUUUCUUCCAUUCAAAGCAUUUGCUGGUGACAUUCUUAUUGUAGCAUUCGUCUUUAUAUCUCUGCAAAAUAAAAAUAUAUAGGAUUAUGUAUAAAUGGUACCCUUCAUUUGUAACAUGUAAUUUAAUUAAUAAUAGGCUGAACUGCACUUUUCGCCCCCUAAGUUUCAAAAGCUUGUUACAAGAAAGAUAUGUAUAAGGAAUUAUUACUCAGGAGUUAUCUCUGAACCCUUUGGCGUUGUGAUUGAACGUGGAUCAUGAUAGUUGAUAGUAGACACAACAUGAGGCUCAGCAAGAAGUGUUUUUCCAUCAACUUCUGGUUGAUUUCUCAUAAUCACUCCCACUGCGCCUGCAGAUAAAGCUUCCUGACCUUCAGCAAUUGAAUUUAUUUUCCCUUCUCGAUCACACGCCACUACUUUACCAUUCACUUUUGAAGGAUCAAGCGUUCCUGGUCUACAAAAUUGACUGCAAAAAUAUGCAUAUGAAAAAAUUGACAAUCUUAGCAUCCUUUAUUUUUCACAAAUUUAAUCUCUAUGCAAAUUAUUUCUCACAACUAUCAACUCUGUUAUUGCAGUUUUGAUCUCUCAAAAUCGUGAGUGUUUGAAGUUUUAGUCUUCACUUUCCCAAAAUUGGACGGUUUUAUUUUUGCAAUCAAAUAGUUUUUAAAGUCGACGAUUUGGAGAGAUCAAAACUACAUUAUGAAAGUGUGGGGACCAAAUUUGCAAUAAAAGGAACCCCAAAAAUCAUAAAUUUUAAAAAAUAGUCAAUCAAAUAUACAAUUAACUUUUUCAUCAAUAUACAAGAAUAAAAGGUUUUGGAAUUCACACUUACGCAUCUACAUCUGUCACAUUGGCAAAUUUAGCAUCAGUAGAAAUUAUUAUAAGAAAGUCUUGGUUAGGUGGCAAGUUUACAAAAAGACUGGCUCCCUAGUAAGACAAGAAAAGCAUAACACAAUUAAUUUCAAUGCUACAAUAAGUAUAAAUUAAUAACAAUAACAAUAAUAUGUAACGAAUAUAAACAAUAAGAAGAAUAUGAUAAAAAAAAAAACUAUAAGUUAAGGAUGAUACCGUGAGUGUUCUGUUAUUAAUGGUCAUGACACUGCUGAAGUCUCUGUCUAAUGUACUAGCAGCAACAGUGAACACCCAUGGAGCAACAUUAGUAACACUUCCAGGGGUAGGUCCUUCAUUUCCAGCCGAUGCAACUAAUAAUAUAUUUCUAGCAAGUGCAUGAAAUGCACCUAUUGAAAUCUCAUCAGUAAAAAUAACUUCAGGAUUUGUAUUAGGUUUGCCUCCAGCCGAAACAGAAAUCAAAUCAGCACCGUCGUAAAUUGCUUGAUCAAUAGCAGCUAAUACAUCGGCACCGAAGCAGUCUACAACAUCUGUUAGAGACCAACAUGCUUUGUAGGUUGCAACUCUUGAUCUUGGUGAACCACCUUUUAUGGUACCGUUGCCAAUACCAAAUAUGGUUGCGUUUUGUACGAAGUUUCCACCUGCUGUUGAUAGUGUGUGUGUCCCAUGGCCUACAAAGUCUCGCGCUGUUUGUUGUGAACU